rnacentral:lncRNA from 1 species
UUUUUUUUUGAGUAAGAAAAGCGAUGAAUGAUGUAACAGCUUGGAUUCCUAUCUGGACGACCCACUCUAUCCCUAUAGGCAGUUCCAUAGUAAUAAGCCUGGCUUGAUACGAACGGUCUGUUAGUAACUUGUGCCUUAGUUGGCCAAGAAAAUACGCAACUCCGGCCUUAUUUGAUAUCUUGUACAAAUGACACACUAUUUAAAUUGCUCUCAUGCAUGUAUAGAUGAUUGGGGUUCAUUCCACUCACAUAUCCAUCGAUAUUCAUUUAUGCAUCCAUAGGAGAAGACCAACACACCUUGGGUUCCGGGAGGAGGCCGGUGUCGGGAUCAAGGCCAAGAGGCAAAUGCAGGGUUAGGGACAGAGGAGGAAGCAUGCGAGCAUCGUGCAGGAGGCCCGCUGCACGUAAGGGCCGCAGACGUGCGAUGGACGAGGAGGAGGCUAGCGCCAACAGCCCAGCAGUACAUCUGGCGCAUGAAAAUUGUCCGCGCCGCAUGUACGAAGCGACGCGAGACGUCUGUGAUGACGAAUAAAAAAUGCUGUCCACCUCCGUUUGCUUAGAGCAACUCCAAGAGUACCCUAAAAAGUUCUUCCCCAAAACUAUGUAUUGGGGGUUCUCCUAAAAAAAAUUUCCCCUAAAAACAUAUCAAUCCACAGCAGAUCGCUAAUAAAUUGCCCCCAAUAUUUCAAAACAGGCCACGUCAUCGUAUUGGGCCCAUCGGAAGGGACGCGCGGGUGUGCGGGAAUUAGGAUUGGGGGAGGAACGCCAACGCUAAAAUAUACGCGGUGGCAGGCUGUUUUUUAGCGUUGCUAAAAAAUUAGAGAAGGUUUGGGUGGACUGUUGGAGUUCGUUUUUUCUCCUUUUCUCCCUAAAAAGAAUAUUGGGAGUAAGAUUAGCAGCCUUUUGGAGUUGCUCCAUCAUCAAACCUGGACGGAGGGAGUACAUUGCUCGCUUGUAAACAUCAUGUGCAUAAUUAAGCACCUUCCGGGUCAACAGAAUAAACUACGUGUACAUUGAGAAUACAUAUCAAUCAUUGAGCUAGCAGAAAAUUACCAAGAUAUAACACUCACAUGAUCGCAAAAAGCUAUUGUUCAGCCAGCAGUUCGAAAGAUAAUUUGUUUUCAAAGCUAUUUUUGUCAAUGAUAAUUGGAGUCUGCCAAAUUGAUGAACACAUGUUUCUACUUUUUGAUAAUUUCUAGGAUUUAUCACUUAGAGCUAGUUUGGAAGCCAAGAGCAUGAUAACCCAAGGAAGGAGGCCUCCGGUGAGGUUUUAUUAGUCAAAUCAUUUCCCUGGGUGGCUUUCCCCACAUGGUAUCCCUUCCCCAUCACUGUUUGCGAGCUAGGGGGAAUAUGCAGGAAACAAAAACCAUCUCAAAAAAAGCAGAAAGUGCUUGAAUAAAAAUGAGAGCCGUCCGUCCAGCGAAAUCGAACAGUGGAAACAAAGAAAGUACCAUAAAGUACCAAUUUGGUUGGACCAAAUACCAAAAUAGUGAGAAAUUACUAUGAUACUCUUUUAAUUAUGUGUAAAUCUACUUAAUUCUUUUUUAAACCAUGGGUACUUUAAAAGCAUUGUAACAAAGCUUAAUAAUAAACUCAUAACGGACCAUUGUCGACAUCACAAUAUCAUGAAAGGCUCCAGAAAAAAUCUUUAUUCAAUCGCAUAUAUCUCAAGGAUGAAAUCAAUUAAGUUUAAUUUAUUAAAGUACUUUGUAUUCACUAGCUAAACAAGUCUUAAUAUCAUCUCCCUGCUAUACUGUUGCAUCCCGUCUUUGUCCUACAAGCCGAUCUCUAUCUCAAAUCCCAUGUCUUCGAGAAUCUGCAGGAACUUUGUAGGUAAAUCAAGAUGAACAUAAAAAUGCACAAAUAGCCUUCAGUGCACAAUGCAAUUGGAAGAAAAUAGCAGCAGGCUAAUACUUGAGAGCAAUUUGAAGUAAUUCAUAUAGAUAAUUCAGUUAGAUAAAUAGUUAAGUGCAAGCUGAAGUAAACUGCCAAUUUCACUGUCACCUUUCUGUGAAGAUUUUGAUUAAUGGAGGUAGAAUAGCUAAUUUCAUCCUUAAACUUUUACCCAUGGAUCAAAUUCAUCCUUCAACUUUCGUGCGAGUCAAUUUAGUCCACCAACUUCAGUUUUGCGAUUCAUUCUCGUCCUUAGGCUGACCUGGACGUCCAGUUAAGCCUUCCACAUCAGUUAGCCGCAUGUCAUCAGAUGGAAAUGUCCUUUAUGCCCUCAUUCAAUUAGCCUGCAGGCCCUGCACCCCUUCUCGCUCCACAUCGGACGUUUGCCCCAGAACAGCACCUCCCUCUUGGCGCGUCCGUCCGCGGGCACACUCCUGGAUCGUCACGGGAUCCGUCACGUCCACCUGCAGCCCAGGUGCUGGAGACCCUGCCGGCAGCGCAUCCAGCUCGAGCUUCAACAUGCACACCAUCGCUGGGCCAUGAGUCUCCGUCACGCCGUUCAAAUAGAUCACCAGGCGGAGAACACAGCACCCUGCAUAACAACGAGAUGACACUUCUGACUCAAUCAUCAAUCAAUUGAAGUAGCUUUCUGAAAUAUUCCAGACAGAGAAUAAUUCGCAAACAAAUUCUGGGAUCAACAAAUUGAUUUCCGCAAGAACAAAUUCUGGGAUCAACAUAUUGAUUUCCGCAAGAACAAAUUGCCUUCGCGUAGCAGCCAGUGAUACUAGCUAAACGAAAAAAAGAUGAACUUUUGGGUGCAUAGGAAGAGGUAAGAUAAAGAAUUUGCUGAAUCGACAACUCCAUGUGACAGAAGAAAACGGAGGAACAUGGCUCGAUAUUUUACCACAUCGUGGCGUGCGAUGCCCAGGACGGCGACAAGUCAGACACGGCUGGGUCUCUCGCCAGGUACAUCUUGGUGCCUUCCAUUGUUGCGGUAGCCUCCAGCGAGGGCCUGCAGUUCGGAGGAACGGGUUCGCCACGACGAGGAUGGAUGGAGGCAUGGAGCCUUGGAGCCUUGGAGGGAUAGAGCGAGCGUUGACCAAGGCAUGCGAGGGGGCAAUAGAUGGAGCGAGAGGGGAUGCAGCCAAAUAGAAUGAGGGCAUAUUGGACAUUUGCAUGCAAUGGCAUGAUGAGGCUGGCUGAUGUGGAAGGUCUACAUGGACAUUCAAGUCAGAUGAAGGAUGAGAUUGAACCGGAAAACUGAAGUUGGAGUUCUAAAUUGGUCCACAUGAAAGUUGAGGGACGAAGUUGACCUAUGGACGAAAGUUCGAGGACGAAAAUGCCUAUUUUGCCAUUAAUGGAAAAGAAAGAGAUAAGCUCUUGCAAUGGACUGCCUUUUUAUGUAACAUAGGCUAUAACACCUACAAUUUCAAAAUCAAGAAGCAAUUGAAUGUGUAACAAACUGCAUUAUGAAAUAACUAAGCGAAGGAUUAAUAAUUAAGUCCAUCAUAAAAUACAUGUAUUUGAAGCAAUCCAAUAUCUCCUGGCAACCGAAAAGAGGAAUAAUGAAGUAAAGAAUAGUAGCCUAUUUUGUCUACGAAUCUCAUGAGUGAUUUCAGCUACUGCACAAAUGAACUUUGGACCGGUAUUCCUACAAAUCAAUUAUUGAGCUAGUGCAUUGAUAUUAUGCAUUUCAAAAUAGUGAACUAGCCAGGAAAAUAAGAACCCAUACCUGAUUAAGGGCCUUCUCCUAAAGACCAAGAACCCUUUACUUUUCUUGCUGAUUAAUUAGAGAACCUAAUUAUAUGCAUAUAUUAAACAUACAUCAUGUUGAAUUGUUGGACUAAUCAUGACUGAAUGCAUGAAGUAUGCAGACAUCAGGUUUAUCCCUACCUGGCUGCUCGUGAGCUACCCCCAGAAGCUAAUCUGAGAUAGCCCUUCAUGAUUCCAAUGAUCCACUUUAGCCUGCAAAGAAAACAAAUAGAGGAUUAGAAAAAGUUCCUAAUGUUGCAGCUGAGCAUUCAGUGACGCCGAAAACUAAAUAUUUUAUAGCCGCAUUAAUCCACUACAGGCAACACGACCACAAAUUUUCAGCACUGCUGUCCAAAAAUCAAGCAACGUCUAAGUCACUUGAGAGAACAGAAUAGCAUUGUACCUCGAGUGAAUUAGCAGCCAACAUCCGAAAAAUGCAUAAAUUACCUACAAAAUUUCUAAGACUCUAAUGGAUCCGAAGCUAACCAGAUCUACCAAAUUCUGGGCAAAAUCGACACACGUAACUGAUCAAUCAACCAAGAACAAUCACAAAUACGCCUACGUCUACACACCAUUUCACGUACAAGAGAGGAUUUUUUGGCUCCAUACAUUUGGUCAGACAGAGAAGGAAGAAGCACAUCAGCCUUCCCCUUUCCCCAGAGAUAUUCCGUUCCCUGAGUCGCCAUCAUCAAGCCUCUAUAGCCAUCCAGAGAUCUUGCGCCUUCCCUGAGCUCCUCCUCUCGGAAGACAAACUGAGGACUAGGAGGAGGAAGAUUUACUUGUGAGCAGCGUCUGUUGGAGUGCGGGAGACAACUAUGGGGGCUCGCGAGCAUGGAGGUGGGGGAGACAGCUGCAGGGGCUCGUGAGCAUAGAGGCGGAGGUGCUAGCGAGGAGGGGAAGCAAAGGGGUGGGAGCCGACUUUUUUUUAUUUUAACCCUUUUCGUGAAAUUUUUUUACAAAUACAUCCCUGAUGGAACUAAUUAAAAAAAUGGACCCAUAGGCACCAAGCUAUCACGUCUUGGCACCAGCCUCCAUGACGCCAAGAUCCAACCCCUAGAUCUACAUGGCAUGACUUACGUGGUGGCGCCAUAGAUCUUGGCGCCAAGGCUUGGCGUCAACCAGCCUAGCGCCAAGCCCUACAACCAUAGGAACGCCAUUCCUUUCUUUUCUUGCUUCUUCAUUCAAACUAUUCUUGCUAUCUCCAACACUGCCGCCGCCGCCAUCCUCGGAGCACGCCGCCGCUACCCUCGGAGCGCGCCGCCACCACCGCAGCCCGCCCCCACUCCUGGGCGCCCGCCCCCACCCCUGGGCACCCACCCAUGGCCGCCCUCCCCCGCCCUCUCUGGUGGCCGCCCGCCCCAACCCCUGGGCGCCCGCCGGUUGCCGGCCGCCCCCGCCCCUGGCUGCCGGUGUGCGCCGUCCCUGAGAUAGGUAAGAAUAGUUAGUUCGUAGAAUAGUUAGGUAGUUAGUAGAAUAGUUAGAUAGAUUGAUUAGUUAGAUUGAUAGAUAGAUAGAUAGAUAGAUAAGAAGAUAGAAUAGUUAGGUAGAAUUUAGAUAGGUAGGUAGAAUUGUUAGAUAAAAUAGUUAGAUAGAUAAAUUGAUAGUUUGAUAGAAUUGUUAGAUAUGAAAACUAAUUUAAUUUGGUAGGUUUUGUGUAUGAAUUGCAACGAAAGAAGGAAUACAGAAUACUCAUGAUACUAUUUAACUAGGUGGAUGUGCUUAUAGAUAGAUAAAUAGAUAAGAAGAUAGAAUUGUUAGAUAGAGAAAUAGAUAGUUAGAUAGAAUUUUCUUUGUAUGUAAUUUUAUUUACGUUGUUAGAUAUAUAGUUAGUUACAUAGUAAUAUAGUUAUUACGACAUUUAGUUAAGUAGUUAUAUACUUAGGUACAUAUGUACAUAUUAGGUGAUGUAGUUAGUUAGUAGUAUUUAGUAGUUAGUAGUGAAUUGAUAGUAUCUCAUUUCAUACUAGAGAGCUUGUACUUAGAAUACUUUAUUUAUUAUGGACUAAAUGAAUUGUGCGUCGUUAUGUUUAUGUACUAGAUGGACAAUGUAGUGAGCAUAUAUCAUGGAGGCACCGUGGAAAGGGAUGACUAUGGAUGUGUUAAGUUUGUUGCCAUGCAGUGCGAGGUUGUGAUAUUCGAUGAGAAGCUCUCGUUUAGUGAGUUGGUUGCAAGGGCUCGGGAGGAGAUACAUUGUCAUGGAGAUGAUGACAUCACAGUCGAGGGCGUACUUCACCUAGGUUCCCCUCUCAACAUUCAAAGGAAGAUGGUCCCAAUUCGGUGUGCAGACUAGUGGGAGAAAUAUGUGAGAACGGUUAUGAACGGCUAUUCCCCAAGUAUGUAAGUGGUUGUUCAUCGGGUGUUAGUUGAUCCAAUUCCUCAUCGGUUUUCCCGACCAAUGGGUCAACGGGCACACUUCGACUCUCCCGUCCCGGAACCUGUUAUGGACGUGAAGGUGGCACCUACGGUUCCCGAUGCUGAAUCUGCCUCCAAUGAAGUAGUUGGAGAUGUUUGUCGGACUGUUGAUGAUAUGGCAGAUUCUCCUCAUGAGAUCCUUGUGACACAGAAUAAUCCAAGUGUCUUAUCAGUUUCUCUUGUUGGGAGCUAACCCCCUUUGUUCCAUCAAUUUGUUCUUUACUCAUAUUUCUACUUAUGUUGCAGGAGACAUUCCUGAAACUGUGGAUUGCGUGGCUCCAAUAGUGUUGAAAUUAUGAAUUAUGAAGAUGCAUAUGAGAUGGGAGUGGAUCUUGAUUCUGAUGAUGAUCGCCCUGUUGGAGAGAUGACAGAGAGUGAUGUUGAGAUGUUCAGGCGUAUCUUCCCUGGACGUCGUGAUCCGAGAGUUCACGAGUUCAGCGAUCUUACCCAUUCCGAUCACGCAUUUGCAGAAUGACGUGAUGAUGAGCUCCUAGAAGCUCCUGAGGCCAGCCCUAGUAUGGUGAUUGAGGAGGGUAGGGUACUCAAGGACCUUCCCGCAUUGAAGAGGUGGUUGCAGGCAUUUGUGGUGAUGUGAAAGAGACCUUACAAGGUCUUGCAUUCAUAUGCGCAGCGCCGUUACACAGUUGUGUAUGACAAGAAACGGUGCCCAUGGAGGGUUUGUGCAAGGAAGCAAAAUAUCAUCGGGAAGUGGAAGAUCACAAAAGUUGUUGGUGCACACAAUUGUGCUGACCAUGAGCUUACAGUCAAACAUCGACAGUUGACAUCUACCCUAAUUGCCAAACGGAUGAUGGGAAUAUUGAAGGAACAACCCAACAUGAAAGUUAGGACAAUUAUCAGAACCAUUGCGGAGAUUUAUGGAGGUUAUGUGAUAACUUAUGGUAAAGCUUUGAGGGCUAAGCAACGAGCAUGGCAGAUGAUAUAUGGGGAUUGGGAGUCUGGGUAUGAGCAGCUGCCAAUGCUUUUCAGUGCAAUCAAAGCGGUGAAUCCAGGCAUACAUUAUGAGUACAUCCCAAAACCAAAUGCUUGGAAGAAUGGGAGGCAGAUAUUUGGGCGUGCAUUCUGGUGCUUCCCUCAGUGUGUCGAGGCCUUUAGGCACUGUCGUCCCGUCUUCUUUGUUGAUGGCACAUUUUUUAUUGGCAAAUAUAGGGGCACACUUCUAGCCAUAUCUUGUGACGCGAACAACAUGUUGGUUCCUUUAGCAUUUGCACUGGUUGAGAGGGAGAACAAUGAUAGUUGGGAAUGGUUCUUGAGACUAGUCCGGAUACAUGUGGCUGGACCUAGUAGGGAAGUUGGUGUCAUAUCUGGUAGGCACCAGGGCAUACUUAAUGCCGUGCAAGAGCAGAUAGAGGGGUAUCCACCUUUGCAUCAUCGUUGGUGUACUCGGCACCUUGCCGAGAACCUACUUUGGAAGGAUGGUGUGAAGGAUAAUUUUGAGCUAUUUCAGGUUGCUGCUCGUCAGCUUGAGGACUAUUACUUUCAGCGCAAGUUGGAGCAGGUCAGGUCUGCAACAAAUGCAGAAGGUAGAUAAUGGCUCGCAGCUUUGAUAAGAGAUUUGGAUAAGUGGACUAGAUCUCACGACACUGGCGGAUGGAGGUAUGAGUUUCAGUGCAGCAACAUGGCGGAGUCAUUCAAUAAGUUGCUAUUGGGGAUAUGUGGUAUGCCCAUAAACGCAAUCGCUCAAUUCACCUUCUACAGGCUUGUUGCGUGGUUCAAUGAAAGACACGCCAAAGCAAAAGCGUUGCAGAGUGCUAGGGAGAGAUGGGCUGAAAAACCAAAGAGACACCUAAGCAUUGCAAAUGAAAGGGCUGCCACACAUGAGGUUCAAUGUUUUAACCUCACCAUAGGGACUUAUCAGGUGGAGCAUAGGGGCGGGACAACAUCCAACGGUGAGAUCCAAGAGUCGAGGAUACAUGUGGUAGUCCUCUGAGAUUUCAAGUGCACUUGUGGUAAGCCAAGGCAGUACCACUUCGUAUGUUCUCAUGUGGUGGUAGCAGCUAGGCAUCGCAACUUUGAUAUCGAGAGCAUGAUACCUCAUAAGUUCAGUGUAGACACGCUUGUGCGCACAUGGAGCCCCCGCUUCGUGCCUUUUCGGGAUCCUAGAGAGUGGCCUUCCUAUGAUGGGCCAAAAUACAUUGCGGAUCUAGCUUACCGUUGGAAUAAGUGUGGAUCAAGGAAGAGGACGAGGCACAAGAUGACUAUGGAUCAGGUAUCCAGAAGAACGAGGCGUGAUAGAGCAACACCAUUUCUUACUGACCCCGAGCAGAACGAGUGCGGCAAGUGCGGUAGACUGGGUCAUAACUCACGCACUUGCCAUUGGCAGAUUAGUGAGGUGUGACUAAUGGUUCUUUUCAUUACUUCAUAUGUGUCUUCUCCAUUCAAUUAAUUAUGUGUGUCUUAAUUUAUGAUUGUAAUAGUGUCAUUUACUUGUACAUCUCUAACUUUAUGUUUCAUUGUUUACUGAUUUUAUAUGUCAUUGACUUUUUCUAGUAUGGCGCAAUUCCACCUACUCGACCAAGCGUACGACCAGACCCACCGAGGACGUCUCAUAGCGGGGGGGAGGGGGAGGUAAUAAUCUACACAUGUUGAUCUAAUUUUUGUAAGCGUACACGUGUUGUUCCUCAAAUAACGAAAGACUUUGUUUGUUUGCAUGCAGGUCCUUCCGCUCCUUCGCUCUAGAGCCCAUGAUGGGUUCUUGGCAUUGCAGUACGACGAACGCUACACUUCUUUACUAGAGAUGGCGGGCCUAGAUGUCAUCUCGUUUUAGGUUCGUUGUGGGUUGCCCAAGUUCAACUCAGCGGCCAUAACUGUGUUGGUUGACAGGUAUUAUCCUACGUCUAGUGCCUCCGUUCAUGUUCAAUUUUUUGUGUCCUUACCUAUUUGACAAGUAAUAUUUGUUUAAAAUGUCGGUGGCGGCCCGAGACUCACAGCUUUCACCAGCCUUUCGGAGAGAUGAUAGUGAUGCUACAGGACUGUUAGAAGAUGCUGGGUCUGUCGAUUCGUGGCAACUCAGUGAUUGCGCCGUGCGUGUCAAAGGGUUGGAGAGCACGAGUAGCAACCUUCCUUGGUCGUGAGGUUGAGGAUCAAGGGGCUCGCACAUCUGGAGUACUAAUCUCCUGGCUGUGGGAACACUUCGGACAUUGCCCCCAGCACGCGGAUGCGGAGACAGUUGGGCACUACUGCAAGGCGUGGAUCCUGUACCUGUUUGCCUGCGUUCUUUCCCCAAACGCCAUGGGUGACACUGCAUCUUGGAUGUGGAUCCACUGCCUCUCUGACUGGUAGCAGGCGGGUCAGUACAGUUGGGGCUCAGCUGUGCUGUGUUUCCUUUACCGACAACUGUGCGAGGCGUGCCAUCGGACUUUGGCCUCAGCGUCAGUUGGUGGGUGCGUGUACCUGUUGCAGUUGGGGAUGUGGGCCCGUCUACCAGUUGGUCGUCCCGAGGCUAUGGGCCGUCGACUGUGGUUCCCAGGUCAGACACCGAGACAACAGCCGACGUGGGCGUACCUUUGGGACCAAGUUAAGGUUGGCCACACGAGGUUGGAGCGGGCGUACCUAGAUUACAUUAACGAGCUAGACAUGCUCAUGGCUUAUAGUGUAAGUAAAUUUUAUUUCUAAUGAUGCUUUCUAUUACUUUAGUAUAACAGCUAACAUCUUGUUUUGACAUGUUGCAGGUAGAUUGGUAGCCGUACGAAGGAGAGGGGGCACUUCCUUUUGCUGUAAGUGUCAUGUGUGUGAGCGAUGAUGAUUUAUACAGGAUGAAGUGCCCUCUGGUAUGCUUCUAUGCUGUCGAGUUCCACAUGCCUGAUCGAGUAGCAUGUCAGUUUGGGAUAAGGCAGAUUUGGCCAACUCCUGCAAUCUCGACUAGAGUGGAGUUACACAAGUAGGUGUUUUGCUAUUUUAAUUAUCUUGUGAUGGUCCAUUACCAUUAAGUAAAGUUUGGCAACUCAUAACAUCUAACGUGACAUGCAGGGUGGAUCGUAAGAAGAAGCGAAAGGUCUCUGAGUGGCACGAGUUCCACCAGGCUUACAUUGAGCAAUAGGAUCAGUUCCAUGACAACGUGGACGAGAACGAUGACCCGCACACAAACAGUGAGUACAGGCAAUACCAGACUUGGUACCAAGGUGCGACGUGUAGCAGGCUGAGGGUACAAUGGACACAAGAUAACUACGCCGACAUCCAGUCAUCCGAUGAUGAAGACACGGUGUACGACCAAAGUACUCGUGCAGGAAGGCAGGUGGAGACAGGACCAAUUCUGGAUAGGAUGGUAAGUCAAUUGCCUUACUUUUCUAUGUUAAGUUACUUAGUGAUUUAGUGAGUUAGUUAGUUAGUGACUUAUUGCCAUUCAUCAUUUAUUGAUUUAGUAGUUAAGUGGCUUAGUGACUUAAUCAUUUAGUGGUUUAGUGACCUAGUGAGUUAGUGACUUAGUGAGUUAGUAAGUUAGUGACUUAAUCAUUUAGUGGUUUAGUGACUUAGUUACUUCAUCAUUUAGUGGUUUAGUGACUUAGUGAGUUAGUGACUUAGUGAGUUAGUAAGUUAGUGACUUAAUCAUUUAGUGGUUUAGUGACUUAGUGAGUUAGCGACUUAGUGACUUAAUGAGUCCGUGACUUAGUGACUUAAUGAGUUAGUGACUUAAUCAUUUAGUGGUUUAGUGAGUUACUAAGUUAGUGACUUGAUCAUUUAGUUAUUUACUGACAUAGUGACUUAGUGACUUAAUCAUUUUGGAAAUUUGUUGCAGGGUUGUACCCUCCAAAGCUCGGUUAGAGACAUUGAGCAUUUCCGUCCUAGAGUUACGGACCACGAGACACGAAGUUUUCUAGAUGUAAGAAUCAAAAUAUUCUUUCAAAUACUUUGUUAAUACGUUACAUUCUUUCAUUUAACUAGUUUUUGCACAACAUCGACUAUCAAUUCGGCUUCACCGUGCAGCUGCUCGUUGUGGUUGUAGGACAGCCACGACGCUAGACGUGCACAUUCCAUCCCCACACGGAUGAGGCGUUGGUUCGUCUAGGCAAGGCCCAUUAUGGUCUAGAGCAAUUGCGUCCAAGGAUGAGGACGACGACGAUGAUGACAACGGGGACCAGAGGCCCGAGGAGCUUGACCCGUCUCAGCUCCAGAACGCUCCUUGACUUAGCCUACACAGGUUGUAGGCACUAGAUUACGUCGCCCACGUUCUCCUUACACUCCAGGCACCGACGCUCUUGGUCACAAGGGUAAGGGUAAGACUAGGAGACAGUGAGGGUACUAUUGUGGACUUUGUGGUAGAUGCUAGUGUACUAUUAUGGACUUUAUGGUAGAUGCUACUACUUUCAUUAUGGACUAUUGUGUAUAUGGAUUUUUAUUAUUUGACUAUUGUGUAUAUGGACUUUCAUGGACUUUGUGGACUUUUAUUAUGGACUAUUGUGUAUAUGGACUUUCAUUAUUUGACUAUUGUGUGUAUGAACUAUUGGGGACUUUCAUUAUGAACUUUGUGGACGUUCAUUAUGAAUGGACGUUCAUUAUUAACUAUUCUGGACUUUCGUUGUGAACUAUUGUGUAUAUGGACUUUUAGUGUGAACUAUUGUGGAUUUUUAUUAUGAAUGUGCGAUAUGCUUGUAUGUUUGUAUUUAGGUUCAUCUCAUAAUUGUGUAUGGAUUGCAUCAAAAAAUAGGGGAAAUUCUGCCAAAAUUUCACUAAGAAGUACAAUUUUCAUUUUCUGCGAAAAUUUCACUAAAGAGUACAACUUUAAAGUGCAUUACGUCGCAAAAUAAACAUACGUCAUCUACCACUUGCAUGCCCAUACUUAAAGUGCAUACUUAAAGUGCAUUACAUGACAACAUAAUGAAAAGUCCCACAGUAGAUAAUAUUGUUCAUAAAUAAACCAUAGAACUAGAAACUAAUUAAGACUACUGAGUGCAACGAGGCCACUUUCCCUUCCUCAAGGCAUCAGGAUUCUCCUGAAUCUCUGCUUUCACUUGGCACGCACGCUCAAACUUCCUCUCCAUGUCUUCCCUUUCCGCAGCAACACGCCUCCUUUCCUCCUCUUCCUUGUGCUCCUUUUCUACAGCCUCCUCUCUGAGGCUCUUCUCCAUCAUCUCCUUCCUCUCUGCAUCCCAGGGCAACAUAUCCUCCAUCUCCUCCUUGUCUUUAGGAUUGAUCUCAGUGUCGAUCCACUGCUCAAAAUCACAGAGCGGUAGAGGGGUCUGCAACAAAUGCAAUUGUUAGAAAACAAAAAAAAAUAUGGAAAAUAAUUAUAGCACAACAACAAUUCCUUACCAACUUGUUAAUGCAGCACUGAUGAAGUGAAGGUUCAAACUCAAAGUUGGAACACAUCCUAUACCUCUGCCUAUACGUGUCAUGUUCAUCAGACUUGGCAACCUUGCAAGGAUCGCCGCAAAAGCACAUAGGAACUAGAACACCACUAGGCAGAGGCAAUGGGUCGAAGGCAUUUCCGGUCAGCUUGGCGCCAUAACUACAAUUUAGUUUAUUUCGUUGUAAGAACCGAAAGCACUUAACAAUAAACCUACAAUUAGAGUUUCCCAUUUGAUCCACAACAAUAAACACAUAACAUAACUACAUGCGCUGAGGUUACCUUGGUUUCCUAGCUUCUCCACGCCUCGGCAUCCUACGGUUGCAUGAAAUCCUAAGUUCAAAAAUCCAACUAAUAUAUAGCGAAUUGAUGUGAAAAAAAGCUACGAGGAAGAGAUGAUACCUUGCUCUUCAAGAUCCAUGGACAAAAUGAAAGUUUCUUAGGCCAAAAUGCCGAUUCGUAGUAUAGGGCGAAGUGGGGAGAGAAAAAACCUGAGAGGGAGGAGAAAGAUGAGGAAGAAGGCUCGGUCAAGAAGAAGGGGUGCGGCCCUUAUGUUGGAAGCAUGGCGCCAAGCCUCCACCACAUCAGGUGCCCCGUCAGUCGCGACGGCUGAACCUUGGCGCCAUGGAGGCUAGCGCCAAGACGUGUUAGCUUGGCGCCAGCCAUCCUGACGCCAAGCUAUGGGUCCAUUUUUUGAAUUAGAUCCGCCAGGGGCGUAUUUGUGAAAAAUUUUCAUGAAAAGGGCUAAAAUAAAAAAAUUCUAGGGGUGGGAGACCCGCGAGAAAGGAGACGAAGGCGGCGUCGGCGCGUUGCGAGCGAGGAGGGGAAGCGUUGCUCGACCUAAUGGGUCAUGGAUUUCAAUCGGUCCACGAAACCCCGUCAUGCAAGCUUCCAAAUGCUGGGCCAAUCUGGCAUGGGGGAGCAUUGCCCGUGGGCUUCCAACCCUAGGAAAAGCCCAGGAUCCAGCGGGGUCUGGAGUCAGAAAUCCUAUCCAUCUUUCGGAAGAUUCUUUCCAUCUUACCUUCCAAUGUUUGACAUUGGUGCAAGUUCCCUCCGCUAUCCGAUCUCCCAAGCUUAGGCGCAUAUACUUUUUUCUUUUCCAUUCUUUUUAUUUCCCGUUUCGUUCCAAUCUUUGAACAUCUCCUUCCUCCGCUCGGGCUGUCAAUCGAAGAGGCGACCACGCGGUUCAUUGCUGUUGGCUCGCUUCACUCGGGUUGAUGAGGAGGCGACCGCUGGGGUUCUCCGUCGGUGAUUCUCUGGGAAGUUGUUGCCGGCUCGCUCCGCUCGUGUCCUCCGCAAGGGUCGGAGCUGGAGGUGGCCUAGGUCCACCGCUGCCGCCCCUGGUUACCACUGCCGGUGGGUUCCACGGAGGAAAACGGGAUUCCGUGGCCUUCCUCUACGAUCUGAAGCCCUUGAUUUCCCGCCCGACUGCCCGAGGCCCUCCAUCCGCAAGCCCAUUUUCAAGCAUUGCCCUCCAUCAACGACUGCUUCCUCAUCUCGCUACCCCCAACAAUGAGUUCCCUAGUUCAUGAGGUGAGGUCGCCAUCCAUUCACCCAGAUCUCUGUGCUUCUCGCAAUUUUUUCCCAAACUCAAGAUACUGUGCACAGUCCAGCAUUACUUAAUUUUACUUUUCUAAUUAUAUGCAGUUCAAUUGAUCUAGGUGUCGAUUUGUUCUUCUGUUGCUUUGGAUAUCCAAUAUGGGCAUAUUAGUAAGGUGACUAGGUGUUCUUCAUUGUCACUGUCGUUUUGACUGAUGCGGUGAUGCCUAAUGAACACCUAUGACUUGGCAUAAGUAAUUUCUCAUGGUGUAGCUUCGCAAAUUCAUCAUUAAUUCAUUGCUUUUUUUUUCCAAAAUAGGCCAAAUCAAUUCCUUAUGGCCACAUUUGAUGUUUAAAGUAGAGUAAAAAAUCAUAUCUCCAUGAACUGCCUAGUUUCAGUGCCUUUCCAUGCUCCAUUUAGCUAAAGCCUGCCGGAACAGCCUAAUUCCCUUUAUAGCUUACUUUGUAUGUUCUGUUUUUUUAUUCCCUUUUAGUUCAAGAUCAAAGGCUUACAUGGAUGAUGCUGGAUUUCAGAGUUCCUUUGCAAGUUAGCAUUCAUCUACUAUAAAUAUUAUGCCAUUUUACCAUAGUUCUUGGUGUUAUAUAUCGCGUGUGAUUAUGAGGAGGCUGAACCCAUACCAUCUGGAUUGAACCCUGUACUUGAAAGUCUUGGCAUCUUCAACUUACAUCUAUGACUGGAUCAAACACAACGGCAUGAGGUCAGAUACGUAUUUUCCUUCUCAGCUGACAAAUUGUUGAUCACAAAUCCUCCUGUUUAUAUAGAUACUACAAAUUGGAGAUUAUUGCGCAUAAACCAUACACUGAUUAGUUGCAAAGUUUCUAAUUUUUUUGCCACUGCUCUUGAGCUUUUGCACACUAGAAGAGUCUGUGUGCAUAUGUCAGCAGAUUGAUAGAAGUAUAUUAUUGUGCCAAAAACUCUUUUUUCUUUAUUAUUAAUAGUUGACCGUAGUCAUGUGGUUUAGAAGCAUAUUUAAUUUUCUAACCUCAAGUGCUCUAUUCUGUCCUGGCUUGUGUUUGAAUUUGCUACACAACAUAUUAAUAAUCGGUUAGAAUGAGUAAUGAGGUAAAUGAAUAAUGGAUGGAUUUUAAGAUAAGAUUUUUGUUUACUAGUAAAUGGUUCGGAACCCAACAUUUAAUACUCAACUUCAACAUUUCCAUUAGUUUCACUAACAUUUUAUAUUUCUAGUUUCAACAAUUCAAAAAUGGUAUGGUUUGAAUAUUUGCUUAGCAUGCAUCAGCAUUUUUUUCUAUGUUAUUCAAAUAAUUUUUAUACUCUAACCAACAUUUUUCUUGAGAACGACCAACAUUUCUUUACAUACACAAAUAUUUUUCUAUAACUUAUUUGUGGACACACACCAACACUUCUACAUAUUGACCAACAUUCUUUUUACAUAAAUCAAUAUUUUUUAUGUUUGCAAAACAUUUUUCCACACUCUCCAACAAUUUAUUUGACAUACACCAAUAUUUUUCUUGAUACACCAACAUUUCCUUUAAAUAAUUCAACAUUUAUUGAUGGCUGCCAACAUUUUUGAGCAUGAUAUUCUUAAAGCUGUUUCUAAACCCUUAACAUUUUAGAAUCUGUUCAACUUAUUUUUGAACACAUCUCCAACAUUUCCUUUAUAUUUCUCAACAUUUUUUCCUAAAUCAAUAUUUAUUGAUGAUUGCCCAAAAUUUUCCACAAUCUCCAACAUUUUCUUGACCAUUAUCAAAAAAAGUUCAUGCACAGUUUUUUCUUAAACUUAUUUUUUAAUAUUAUCCAACAUUUCGUUGACAUACACUAACAUUUUCCUUUAACUUAUUCUGGACACAUAGCACCAUUCCUUGAUAUUGACCAACAAUUUAUUUGACAUUCACCAACAUUUUGCUUGAUAGACCAACAUUUCCUUUACAUAAUUCAACAUUUUUUUUAGCAUAUACCAAUGUAUUUUAAAAUUGUUUGCCCAACAUUUUUUUACAUACUCCAACAAUUUCCCAAUAAUAGCCAACUUUUUUUUAACGUGCACCCAACAUUAAUCAGUAAUCCCACUUUGCACGCUAGGGUAGUGUGACAACUACUAUUCCUGAUGCACUAGUCCAUUUCGAAACAGAAGCUCAAAAGAUGUUUUAUGACAAAUUCACUUAUAAUAUUCCAUGAGGACAAUAGUUGUUCAUCUUAUUUUUGUUUCAACUCCUCUCUUAGAAAUACAACAAAUUUCAUGAAAAGUUCAUCGACAUGCUCCUUUAAUUCAAAUGCUAUUCUCUACCGUUUGCUUCCAAGAUUGUCACAAAGUUUCCUAUCAAUGAUUAUCUAUGUUCUAUACUUUCAAUGUUAUCAUAAAAAACAACAUCUUUCUAACAUUUUGUUACCGUAAAUGUUUUCAACAUUUCUAACUACAUGUUCACCUUUUAUGAUGAAUAUUUCUAACAUUUCUAGUUUUAAAUAUUUUUUAGUUACCACUACAUAUGAAGGUCCAACAAUUUCACAGAAAUAGGUUCAACUAUUCUAAAUUCAACCUCUUAUUGUUCAAUAAAUUUUCACCAUUAGAUUUAUCAGUUUUAGAAAUUUAACCUUCUACUACUCAACAAUUAUCAUGUCAGCGCCAUUAUGAUAUUCAAUAUUUUUAACACUUUCUUUUCCACAUCCCAACAUUUUCUAAAACUUACCACAUGUUCAACUUUUAUGACGAAUGUUUCCAACAUUUCUAGUUUCCAACAUUUUUUAUUUAUCACUACGUAUGAAGGUCCAACAAUAUUGCAGAAAUAGGUUCAACUGGUUUGAAUUGGUUUGAAUUCAACCUCAUAUUGUUCAACAAUUUUUUCACCAUUAGGUUCAUCAUUUUUAGAAAUUUAAUCUUUUACGGUUCAACAAUUAUCUUGUCAAAGUCAUUAUGAUCUUCAACAUUUCUAACUGUUCCUUUUCAACAUCCCCACAUUUCUAAAGCUUAGAAUAAUUCUAUGUUUAUUAUUAAUAGGUGCUCCAGUUCUUCAUAAGGAGAUGAUUCAUUAUAGGGUAGUUGAUGUUUCUUAGUUGAAGAUCGAGUAGACUUGGAGUUUACUUAGUUAAUUAUUACUACUUAGUUAAACAAAAGUAGGGCAGGGCGGCGCGCGUCGAGCCGGGGAACGUGCAGGCUCGGCAAGCGCACGGGCAGGGCGGUGAGCGGCGAGCGCACAUGCGGGGCCUGGGCGUCGAGCGGCGGCGCACAGGAGCAGGCGCACGCACGGAUCAGGCGACGCGCAGGAGCUCCAUCCGGCCCCCCUUCCCAGAAAAUCGAUCUCAAUCGAGAGGGAUUUUGACGCCCACCAGGUGAUUCCUGUGAAAAAUCCUCUGCCCUCUUAGUGAUUCCUCUGUCCCUCUCAGUACUUGCUAUUCCCAACACAUGAUUAUCGUCAUUGCAGCCGGAAAAUUUCUCUCGAUCCCUCACUGUGAUUCCUCUCUCCAUCUCAGUAGUUGUGCGCGUGAUUUGCUAGGAAAAAAUAUGAUUACUGUUUCGGAUACUGGAUUACUGAGAUACUGUUAGUGUGCGUGGAACAGCUUAAUGAGGUCAUGAAUCUUAUGGAUUGCGAAUGUCAGAGAUUACUGUACAAACUAUGCUAUUGGCGAACUACUGAAGGUUACUGAUGAUUUUGCCGUAAUGUUUGUUAGCUCCAUAAUAAACAAUUGGUGCAUAGACUAUUGUGCCUUGGGAUACAAUUUGUUUAACUAGUUGCAGCAGCCUACCGUUUGCUUGCAAAUUGCUGUACUAAUUUCUAUUCCCCAACACAGUGGUUCCUUACAGUAAUUCCUCCCUCCAUCUCAGUACCGUGGGUACAAAAUAAAAGAGGCAUAUCCAGUGCGAAAACUCCCACACAAGGUGGGAUCUAGGGAAGAGAAUUCCUAGACAUCCUUACCCUUGUAAAAUUCUUUUAAAAUUCUGCAAAUAGGCUGGUUCGAACCUAGGACAUCUGGGCCACAAGUGGAGAGUUUUACCACUGCACUAGGUCCACCCUUCACUGUGCGUAUAAAAUGCUAGGAAAAAAUAAGCUUUGUGUUUCUUGUACUGGAUUACUGAGAUACUAUUGGUGUGCAUGGAACGGCCCCACGACCACUCCCGCGCUAAUCCGAUUAAAUUCCGCCAAUCCUGCUGCCAUCCCUGCCCAACCGCCCUCCACCACCACCACGGCGGGCCGCACCCCUGCCGCCUCGGCGGGCGGGACGCCCGCCGCCCACCUCCACCGCCAGGCCGGCGACCUCCCCCGCCUUCCUUCUACAGCCGAAGGCCAAUAAAAGCCCCAAAGCCCCAACCCAAACCCGAAACCCUAACUUCGCCGGAGUUAAUGGAGCUCGCCGGAGAAGAAAGCCAACAUGAAUCUCUUUGCAUGAUCAUGAUAAUUCGACAUAUUUCCCCUCAUAUUUCUAUCAACAGGUAUCUAGCAAAGCUCUAAAAAAAUAUUGGAUUGCUAGAUCAUCCUCAAAAAUGUUGUUGUCUUGCUGGGCUACUUGAUAAAACAAUGAAUGACAAAAUGCUGGAAAGAUGAAAUUACUCAAUUACGUAUAUCUGUUGAUGGGUGGUAAAGUUGGCCACACGGGCCGCCCGGCACGGCACUGGCACGGGCACUAUCUGGCACGGCACUAUAUGGCACGGCACUAACAGGCAGUUAGCGUGCCGUGCCGUGCCACAGGGCACGGCAGCACUGCAGUACCCGUGCCGGCCCUAGCACUAAGUGUGCCUACCACUCUUUUUACACAGAAUUACAAGCACAAUUCAAAAAUAAUGAGAUUCAAAAGCAAUUUAGAACUUAUCUUGCUGUAUUCACAAACACAAAGUCAUAAAGUCACAACACAGUCACACAGACAAAGUCACAGAGAUAACAAAAUAACAUUUUAUUGGGAGCUUUAGUGCAAUGGCUGCCUCAUUAAAAACCUAUCUAGGUAAAACUCACCCUUGUGAGAAACCCUAGACAGGAAAAAAGAGUGCAGCCCAGCUCCAAUUAUAAAGUUCAUCACAGUCCAGUACUUAAUAUUACAGUCCCAUUACAUAAAUGAUAACUAAUCAAGAUAAAGUUCUUCAAAAGCUUCUUCAAGUUCCUUGUCCUCCACCAUGUGUUGCAGCCUUGCUUCUGCAGCCUCCCAGUCUUUGAUGCAGGUGAGCAUCUCCACCAUGUUAGGCUUUAGCUUCCUCCGCCGAUCCUCGAUGAUCCUGCCAGUCAUACUAAAAGUGAAUUCUGAAGAUAUGGUUGAAACAAAAAAAUAGUUAAUAUAUCCUUAGCCAUGGUUGACAACACUAAAUAUGUGAGUUUGUGUUGAUGCCACCGGUUCAAGAUGUUAAAACCAUCAUCUAAAUGGUUCACUGUGUCACAAUCCAAGUAAGAAACAAGUUCAGAGACAUUACCACCUGAAGAACUUGCAACCUGCAGAAGGGCAGUUGCAGAUGUAUCUCUAGCCAUGCUUAGAGUAGCAGCUAGAGUAUGCAUGCCACCAGCAGAACCAACAUCAUCAUCAUAAUAAAUUUCAUCCCAAGCAGACCUUUUCUUACCAGAUAGGUUAGGAGGUACAGUCCUCCUCAACCUAACACCUCCAUAUUUCUCCUCAUACUUGUUGUAGACAUCAGUAAGUUGAGAUCUAGUGCUAACCUGGUAAGCACUGUAAUCUGUACUGGUAAGGGUACCCAAUCUCCUGAGCACUCUAUUGAAACCUUUCAUUUUAGCUCUAGGGUCCAGGAUGAAUGCAAAAGAAUAAAGCAAAGGUAUGUCCCUCCAGUAUUUGUUAUACUUGUCUAUCAUAGGUUGAACCACAUGUCUGAUGUGAGUAUCAUUAGCAUAAUUCUUUAAGUGCAUAGCAAUCUUAACAAGAUAAUGAAUCAUAAGUGGAGAUGUAGGAUAGUACACACCAGACAAUGCAACUGUAGCAUCAUAAAAUAGUUCAAGAAAUCUUAGCACUUUUUCUACCAUAGCCCUCAUCAGAUAAAAGCAACUGAUCACCUUCAACCCUAGGAUAUUGAGCAACGAUGAAAGUUGUGAAUGGGACCUUAUGAGGAAACAAAUGCUUAAGCAUUAGAUAUGUAGAAUUCCACUUAACUUCCAUGUCUAGCUGAAACUUUCUAGGCCUAACACCAGUGACAAUGCAAUAACUUUAUAUGCAGCAAUUCUCUAAUUAGAUGAGUUUAAGAAAGAUAUUGCAAUUCUAAAUUUCUCAAUCAAUGGCUUAAGAGCAGUUAGAGCCUCCUUAACAAUCAGAUUGAUAAUAUGGCAUGCACAACACUGAUGCAAGAACAAAGAAUUAACUGAAUGUGCAUUGUCAUCCCUAUCAUCUUCCACAACUUCAAUACCAAGAUAUUUAGAAAGAACAGGUCUAAGCUUUUGCAUGGCUGAAACAUUAGAUGAUGCAUUGUCCAAAGUAACAGCAAAAACUUUUUUAGUCAAACAAUAGUCAUCAAGCACAGAUGCAACACGAUCAGCAAUAUUUUGACCAUUGUGUGAACAAUCAAUCAGCCUAAGACCAAGCACUCUCUUCUCUAGUUGCCAAUCAGAGUUUAUGUAGUGAGCAACAACACUGAGGUAGUCCUCUUUGGCAUUACCAGACCAAAUAUCAGAGGUUAGACACACACAAUUAACACCAUCAGAUUUCACAAUCUCAACAAGCUUAGCCUUGCAAUCAUUGAAGUAUUUUAGCAUGUCUCUAGUGGUGGUUUGCCUAGAUACUUCAACAAAUUUAGGAUUAUGAGCAGUUCUAAUGUAAUCUUCAAAUGCAUAAGAUUCACCCAAAGAGACAGGAACAUCAAGCCUAGCAAGCAGUCUAACAAGUUGAGUACGGGCAACUAUAGGACAGUACUCCCAAUUACGAAUACUACCAUCAGGAUUAAAAGAGAUUUGUGACUGAGACAUGCGAGUUUUCUCACGCCUUCUAGGGCAUCUAUCCCUAUGGCGGGUAAGGUGACCAGUGCCACCACUAGAGUGCCCAGAGUACUCCUUAGAGCAAUGGAUGCAUUUAGCUCCAUACCUUACCUUCUUACCGUUCACCAUUUUGAAUAUCUUCUUGAAAUCAAGCCACACGGCUAAGGUAGAGGAGCGUGAGCGCUUACCGUUGGUCUCUUCCCCAUCCCCGUCCACUUCUUGGUCAUCGCAGGGCUUGAGGACGAUGGGAGGUUGAGCCACACGGCCGAAGAGCUCCGUGGCAUCCUCGCGCAUGUCAUCCUCGUCGUCAUCUCCGGCCAACCCGCAAAGCCGCCUCUCUUGGUUCGACCCACCCUUAACCGUCUCGUCGCCGUCGGAUCCGGCCAUCGUCACACGCCCGCGCCCCGGUUCCUCAACGGCUACACAAAAACAAGAGUUAGGGUUAGGGAUAAGGGAUCGAUUGAGCAAGGGUUAGGGUUAGGGUUAGGGUUUCCUACCUUGAUAGCCGGAGCACCGGAGUCGCCAGCGACGUUGACGAAGCACAGAUCCAGCGAGACCGACUACGGAUCCGGCGAGUUCUAAUACGGAUCCGGCGAGAUCGACGCAUGGCCGAGACCUGGCGAGGCCGACACGGAGAUGACGAGAAGGACGACGCGAAGCGAGAUGCGAGAUCAAGAAUAGGUGAUAGGAGUAUACAUGGCCGUGCCGUGUGCAAGUGCCGGCGGAGGCCGGAGGCCACCGGAGGGGGAGGAGAAGGGCAGAAGGGAGGGGAUCCGGGGAGGGAGGCAGAGAGUCACUCUCGCAGCGGAGAGAGCUGAGAGCCAGAGAGAGAGAGAGGAGAGCGAGCGAAGAGAGAGAGAGAGGAGCGGCGCAAAUGAGCUAGGGUUACGAAUGGGGGGUGCGGGUGGCUGCGGCCUUGCUUAUAUACGCGCCCCCGCCAACGGUCGGAUCCAACGGUCGGAUGGAGCGGGGGAGGAGGAUCCGACGGCUGAUAACCGUUUGAGCCAUGCCUUAUGCGGGCCAGCCCAUUAAACGUGCCGUGCCCGUGCUGGUACUACGGGCCGAAUAGGUAGCCCAGACACGGCACUAACACCGUGCCGUGCCUAGCAGUAGCACGAUGGCUCACGGACCGGGCCGUUGCCGGGCCGUGCUUCUUCGUGUUGUGCUCGAGCCGACCCGUCGUGUUAGUGCCAAAAUGGAAAUCUAUAAUGGGUGGGUUGGGGGUACCUCAUCCUUGUUGGUAGCAUUUGCAUGUGGGGCAGUGCCCCCACUUGGUGCCCUUGUAGAGGGCCUGCCAAUCAGCCUAGUAGUUUUGGCAGCAUCUGCCAUUUGCUUCUAUUGACGGGGGGCAUCAACAAAAUCGUCGGUUGAAUUUGUUUCCUGGGAGAGCCUACUGGCAGGGACCUUCCGCGCUGCAACCCGAUGCCGUCUGGCUUGAUGAUUGCGAGCUUUCUCCAUCAGGUGGUGGGUCGUCCAAUGGUGGCUCGUUGUUGGAGCUGAAGUCGAAUGUGGGUGCUCGAGCGGGAUUUUGGACACCACCGGCUGCGGAUGUACCUUCUCUCUCCGCUGCAUUGGACACCGCGUCCGGAUUCACAUCUGAAUGCUGCGUCUGAGUGAGGUCCAUUCGAAACUCGCCGCCUUCGCUGUCCCUGAUUGAUAUACCUUUGAAACCUUGAGGAAGAUGACCACUAUAUUUCACCUUCUGCAUUUAUUGAAAACCCCCUAUACAGAGAUAAAAAAAAGACAGUAGUGAGACAGUUCGGUACUGAACACAAAAAACAGGUUACUAGGAAAAAGAGCAAAUGCAAUAAAACUACUGAUAAGAAAAGAGCUACCAUAGAAUAUAAAACCAUUGAACCAUGAAUCUGAGGACUAUAAACAUAUUCGGUACAGUAUUCACUCACAUUCAGUAAUUAGCAUCAAUAGCAAUAAAAUCAGUAGAAAACUGAAUAAAAAGUAGCCUUUUCAUUGGCAAUAUUCUCAUUCAGUAAUUUAAAGGAUCGUCUACCAUGUACGAAGGGAUAAACUAUUGAUAGUAAGCACUAAUCAUAUGAGAAAUUAGUGAGACAUAUAGUGAACACACGAUGAAAAUUACUAACAUACAAUAAAUAUCUGAAACCACUAUGGAACCAUUCAACUUAGAAUUACUGAAUGAAGGAAAAAUAUUGAGGCCAAACUACUGAUAUGCAGCUUUCUGCCGCUUAAAUUACUGAAUCAAUACCUUUUGGACUAAUGGAACCAUUGAACUAAUGGAAGGUAGAAUAUACUAUAGAGAUAAUUGUAAAAAAAAAAAGAGACAUAUGAGUUCUACUGCUUGAGGGACAACAAAUUGUAAAGACUGAACUAACAAAAAAGGCCAGGGGUGCUAAUCAACAAAAACAAGUUACUGAAAACCGGAAAAUGAUCACAUACCUACUGGGCUGGUAUACAUGUUCUAGUGAGCUAAACAAAAUCAACUACAUACUACAACCCUACUACCAUCAUACUGAACUACUGAACUGCAUGCCACUUCUGUGAACUACUGAACUACCAUCAUACAUAUUGCUAAUUCAACAUACUGUGAACUGCAUGAUGCUACUGAACUACUGAAAUACCAUCAAACAUAUUGCUAAUCAACAUCACAGUGGGGAAAAUUUGGGGGAAACAGGGAGAGGGAGGCGUGCGGGGCGGUGUGUGUAGGGGGCGGGGCUCACCACAAUUUCGCGUUGCUGCUCACUUCACGACCGAAUGAUCAACAUCCCGCCAUCCCCCCUGAAUUGAAGAAAAAUCCAGCGAAAAAUUUCAAACCCUAGCACAUCCAUCCCGUCGAGCGGCGGAGCCGACGCCAGCGCAAUCCUUUCCCUCCGCUGGCACCGGACUGGCCCUGGAGCAGAGAUAUUUGGAUCGACUUCGACAUUUGCUGGUAAGCAACAACCUAGCUCACUUGGUCGGAUUGUGCUUCCGGGAAUCGAUAUAGUUCCGGUGGACCUUCCUUCUCUCGAACUCAAAUGUCCCAUUUUCUCCGUUCAAUUACUCGAGGAUUUGGCUAACCUAAUCCAUCCAUGGUGCAGUCAGGCUCUUCUUCCUCAGCGCGCGAGGCGAAUCCACCUGAUGUGCGGGUGCAGCUUUACUUCCCACGAAUCUGGGGUUUGACUGAACCCCUAUGUCCCUCGUUGAGUCCGCCUCUGCUUCGGAUGGGCCGCCGCCACAGGACGCAUGGCACGCGGAGUUUCAGCGCCUCCUCCCGCUCUGGGAGUCGCUGCGCGAUUCAUCCAAGGUACAGAUGCUCCCGUUUCCCCUGUAUGGCGCUUGAAAUGCUACAUGAUUUCUCAUUGUAUGAGAAUCGAAAUGCCACGAAAGCAUAUAAAGUUGCUAAUUUUGCUGUUCUGGGUUAUGGUUUUGCCUAUGAAGUACAGAUGAAAUUUUGUGAUAAUCUGGAGCUCUGAAAAGCAUAUUUAUUAAUUGCAAUGGUUUUUGUUUUUUCUGAUGUAGAUGUUGGUUCCUAGUUAUUUUUUAUUAAUAGAAUGCUCAGUGGCUCUUAAAUAAAAGAGAAGUUUUGUGAUCUGUCUGUCAGAAUGGGCAUGAUGAUUGCAGGCAUAGAGGGUUGAUGUUGGAUGAAACCUCUUUUUCUCGUGCAGGUCAUUAUCCCAAAUUCAAUAUCUAGGGUGAACCAGUUUGAUGCUGCAAGGCUAGAUGUCGAGAUGUCCGCGAUGUUGAAAGAGCAGCUAGUCAAAGUGUUCUCUUUGAUGAAGGUGCUUCGUUUACUAACUCCGGUGAUUUGGGUGCUCUUUGCAGCUUGCAUAGAACCUAAAUGCACUGCUAGUUGUUGCUUUCAGUUUUCAUGCUUUUUCUUCAUAUCAGCCAGGACUCUUAUUCCAAUAUGAGCCUGAACUCGAUGCUUUCCUCGAAUUCCUCAUCUGGAGGUUCUCGAUUUGGGUUGACAAGCCAACCCCAGGCAAUGCACUGAUGAACCUAAGAUAUAGAGAUGAGCGGUUAGUGCCCAUCACUGGAAAAGAAGGUAUUUUUCUGUUAAGUUUGUGUCAACUGCUGCCAUUUUUUUUGUAUGGUAUGCACUUCAUGGCUCUUUAUUUUACUAAUCACGCUGGUUACAGCUAAUCAAGUGUAGAUGGUUGUGCAACUAUAUGCAAAACAACAUGCAUGCUAUGCCUCCUGGAGUAAGAUAGAUUGUUUUGCACAAUUCCUUUAAAUCAGAAUACACUUUGCUUGCAUACUGUGGUUGAGGCAACUACAGUAUAUUAAAUUGAAGUUGGCUGAUCCUACAUUCCUACCUCUUGUACGUCUAACUUUGCAUAGAGGCUGCAUCUGCAAUAUGCUCAUUGCCUGUCCUUUUACCAAAUAAAAGAUUUAGUCUCUUUGCAAAAAAAAAGGAAAAAAAAGGGCGUACCCAGUGUGAAAGCUCCCACACAAGGUGGGGCCUGGGGAAGGGAAUUCCUAGACAGCCUUACCCUUGCAAAAUUCUUUUAAAAUUCUGCAAAGAGGCUGGUUCGAACCCAGGACCUCCGGGCCACAAGUGGAGAGUUUUACCACUGUGCCAGGUCCGCAAAAAAAAAUGGAAAAAAAACCGGAAAAACAACCACAAGAAGAAAGAUUUAGUCUGCAAAUACAUGGUGGUCUUUUAGCAAUUUAUUCAAAGUCUCCAAGGUCUCACUUGAGAUGCUAUGUUCUUGAAUUACCAUAGACUAAAAGCACAAAAAGCGUGUUUGGUUAUUUUAGUACGUUUUCAUUAUGAAUUUCGUGCCCUACUGAGUAGAAUACCUAAUAAAAAUACACAGUGGAGUGGUUCAAUUAUGAUAAUCUCGUAUGGAGGGACCCCCAAAUAACUUCUAGAUAUUUUGGUUAUUUUUUAGCUGUUUUUCUCUGAGCAGUGUUGAUGAAGGAUAUUUUCUUGAUUAUAUGAGGGAAAAUAGGGAAAUAUUAACUAUUUGGAUGACAUAAUAUGUCAAAAAUAUAAUCUAAUUUAUCAAACAGUGUGCUAGAUCUAUGAUUCUAUGCGGGCUAAUGGCGGACAUUGCUACGAGGCAUAACAUGCAUAUUGUUGCAUAAUUGGGACAUUCGCGUAUAUCUCAUAAUCUGUUAGUUUGUUGAGACUUAUGAUUAGUUGCAUAUCUUUAGUAUUUUCUUGUUUAUAGAUAAGUUCCUUAUUGGUCUUCUAACAUCUAGAAAUGGAUAGGACUAUCAUCCUUUAUGUUUACACAAUGAGAGUGACUUACCAUCGGCCUUUGCCUUGUCUAAAGCCUUCAUCUAUGCUCAUCCUCUCCUGUUCUAGUGUAUCGUCCCCUCAGGAGUCAAUAUGCGCCCUUCUGGCCCAUUCUGCAUGGUUUUAACCAUUCAGAAACUCAUUCAAUCAUAUUUACAUGAACACAUCAAAAUUACACCUUGGUUGGAGCUUCUUCUUUUUUUACACUGUGCAUGCUAUUGAUGAUCUCAUUUUCUCUACACGAACCAAAGUUGAAGUUAAGCUCUGCAAACAAACUGAACCGCACCAAGGUUAUCUGAAAUAGCAAAUCUAGUUCCAACUAAAUGACUAUUCAGAGCCUCGAUAUGAAAGUGAAUACGCUCAGUUUCUUGCAUGUCUUGUUCAAUCCCAAAUAUGUCUUUGUCUUAGCCAAGUUUAGCUCAUUGGUAACAGUCCUAGGAGUCUGUUUUUCCAUACUGAUUUGUUUUGUUUGAGGAACUGCUAGUGAUAUGUAGAUGAAUAUUUCUGAGCAACAUCUGAUGGAUUCUUUGUGCUUUUCAGUAAGAACAGGUUUGGAAGGACCUGGGCUUUCUGUUUCUCAAAAGAUCUUUUAUUGUAUUAGCUUUGUUGGUGGCCAAUAUAUAUGGUCGCGAUUGCAGUCCUUUUCUGCUUUCCGUCGAUGGGGUGAUUUGGAACAGGUGACCCUGAUACCUUCUUUUGAAAAUUUACAAUUCCUUUUCACUCUUAUAAGUUAAAGUAUCUAUUUCAUGUUGUAGAGACCACUAGCACGCCGUGCCUGGGGCUUAGUGCAGAAUGCUGAAGGAUUGUACCAAGCUGCUUCAUUCUUCAACCUAUUAUUGUUCCUUUAUGGUGGAAGGUAUCUUGUGCCUGCUUAAUUAUGGGAAUGUCUUCAUGCAUGCAGAAAUUAUUCAUGCUUAACAGGGUCCGAACCUGGGAUCGGACCAGUUCUGUGAUUCGUUCCUUUCUUCUUUUUCUUCUCCUUCUUCUUAAUAAUGAUGGGCGGCUCUCCUGCCAUUUCAUGAGGAAAAAAAAGGAUUAACAGGCCCUAGCAGGUGGCACCUAGUUUGGCAUUGCUAACCAUCUAUUUAGAGAUUGAACAUAGUCAAUGUGUACAGCAUGUACUGUCCACUGUGAUAAGAAAUUGGCUAAUAGCUGCGGAAUAUUGUGUUUGAAUGAACUAGAUCAGCAUGCCUUGUGAGAAAAGGGAAAGCUAUUGUUUUUUUUUAAGAAGAUUUAUUGUCCUGUUCAUCUGUCAAUUGUUAUGAAGUUCAUAUGACACACACCUAUUUUGAGCCUUGCAUAUGUGUUUUUGAAGGUACAAAACUAUCGUAGAAAGAAUUCUGAAAGCAAGACUUGUUUAUGGGAGCCCCAACAUGAAUAGAGCUGUUAGCUUUGAGUACAUGAAUCGGCAGCUGGUUUGGAACGAGUUUUCGGUAAAUAUCUUUCUUGCAGCACUGUUGUUAUCUCACAAUCAGUUAGUAAUAUUAAAACUUGCUAGUUUAUGCAGUUAUCCAUUUUACAGUUUGAUCUAGGCUUUUGAUUGGAUAUAUACUGAUGUAUGUAAUGAAAAGUCUAGCCAAUGUGGAUCACAUGCAUUCUUGAUGGAUCAGAACACCUACCAGUUUUCUGAAUAAUUAGUUGUAUUAUAUCCUCCACUAUUUGACAUUGUAGGCUGCAUAUUUUGUGCACUCCCGAUACUAGGAUGCAAAUCUGGGAGGUUGAGGGUACCUUAACCACAUAUGUUUCAAUUCAAGAUGAAAAAGCAUCUCUAUCACAAUUCCAUGGAAUAAUACUUUUACCAAUUCGAACACGUUGCCUUGUUAUCACUGUUCAAAUGUGGUUUGCAUGACAGUGGUGGCGUAAAAAACUGUUUGUCCUGUAAUGAAAUCCUUGUAGGUGUAGUUACAUAUACUCAGGACUAUCUAGUUAGGCACUUUCUAAUGGAUUGGUAAUGUGGUCCUUAAUGUAGAGUAAACAGGGAUGCUGUGCAGAUUUCUUUAGUUGUUUCUGAGAUUUCCCAUAAAAACAUUGGUGGGAUUUUGUGCCAUGGCGGCAGGCUGGCUGGCCAUGUGGCCCAAGGAGUACUAUAGCAGCAGCAAGAGUUCAUCUAGUGUCCAGUAUUUUGUUAGGAUCUCUCUCUGGCUAGUUUUCAAGUUAGGUUAGAAUGUUAUCUCUAUACUAAUUGUUAGUCAAGUCAAGUUAGUAGAUUUCAUCUAUUAGGGGCAGCUAUAUGUGCCUGCUGAUCUCAUCUAUUUGGAAUGAAGAAAAGAAUUAUCAGGAGAUUUCAUCUGCUAGGGUCAGCUAUAUAUGCCUGCUGACAUCAUUUUUUUGAACAAAGCAAAUAAUUAUCAAGAGAGAUCCUCAUCGUCACACUCCCAAACUCCCGAGAAGUCUUUUUUACUUAACUCUAGGACUUCUACGCUGGGCCUUGAGUUUGGGCGUAGCUGUCUCCAGCGUGCCCGAUCUCAAGUGUUUGGGUCGAGUCUGUUCCCCUCGCACACUCAGUCCCUAUUGUUCUACACAGCCUCUAGUCCUGGCCAUAUAACAUUUUGGUACAAUUGAAAUCCUGUAUUGUUUAUGUAGAUAAAGUUUUACUCAAAUAUGCAUCAGAAUGCUUGGACAGCAGUGAGUUCUCUAAUUUGCAAGGUCAUAGUUGCCUAACAGAAUGUAAGUAUAUAAACAUGGGCUGGUGGCUCCAUUGCAAUAAACUUGAUGAUAUAUUAUUAUAGGAACUGAAAUGCAACAAAAUGGGUAAAGGGGGCUUGACUGCACUAGAUCACAUUAUUAAUGGUUUCUAAUGUGACAUGUUCUAUAUAUAGACUUGUGUUUUUCGAGCUAUUUAGGUUCAUGAAAGCAAAGUAUCACUAGUAACUUUACUGCUGUUCGUUACAUUCACCUCAUUGCAAUAUGAAAAGAUAAAAAAAAAUCAAUGAAUUUAUCUCUACUCUUCAAGCAGAAGUGUUAUCGAGUCUGAAAUUUGGACACGUAUGCGAAAAACUAGACAAGUGUGGUAUGAUGAAGCAACCUCAAGCAUGUUCUUACGAGCAUUGCUGAAUGCUGAUAUUUGUACUCUGGGGAGCUUUUAUUGUCACAUAAGAGUGUAUUUUACCUGUGUUUAAUUGGUGUUUUUGCCAGCAUCUUGAUAUUCAGCGAGACUUUAUAUUGAUGUACUGUAGACAUUACAAAGUAGAAUCCUGAACUUUGAGCGGUGCAUGACAGCAUGACACUGCUUAAUUCUGCAGGAAAUGUUGCUUUUGCUUCUUCCGCUCUUAAACUCAUCCUCUGUAAAGAAGUUCCUUCUCCCCUUCUCCAAAGAUAAGUCGGCAGGUUCUUUUGGUGAUGAAGCAAAUUGUCCUAUAUGUCGGUCCAGUCCUAGCAUUCCUUUUAUAGCUCUUCCAUGUCAACACAGGUAUGCUGCAUGCUGCUUCUUACUGCUUUACGUUGGUCAUAUAUUCCUUUGUGGUGUACUCCCUUCAGUGGGUUCCAUCCUAACAUUUUGCACAACAACGAAGCACGUUAGAAAAGGCACAUUCUGAUAGCUAUUAUUAUAUUAGUAUUGCUGGGAUGGUGUUUGUUUCUCUAGCUCGAAGUAGUAGAUAUAAGAUCAUUCAGAGAGAGAGAGAGAGAGAGAGAGAGAGAGAGAGAGAGAUAAGGAAAAGCAGGUGCAUAUAUCUUGUUAUUGUGGAAUGGUAAUAUCCUUACCAGGAUUUCUUGACAACUGUAAUAAUCAUAUUUCAGUCUAAUAUCUAUGUUUCUUCUAAGAAAUCAAAGCGCCGAAAAGCCAAAUUAAAUAGUUUUGUAUGAGUCGUACACAUGCUAGGUGAUUAUGCAAUAUCUGACUUAUAUGUUUGUUUCCGACAAAUCUGAUUUCUGGAAUGACUUAAUGUCUUCCUUACCUAUUAUGCUAUUGGUAUUGUAUCUAAAUUCCUGUGCUGAUGUUUGCCUUAGACAGGUUCUUUGUUUGUUUCCAGGUACUGCUAUUAUUGCCUACGCACGCGGUGUUCCGCUAGGAGUUCUUACAGAUGUCCACGUUGUAACGAGGUGGUUGUUGCAAUUCAAAGACAAGGAUCAGUUUAGUUUACUUAGUCGGGUUCAACAAUUCUUGCCCACGUACAGACUAGCUCUUUGAUCUUCAUACUUAUAAGUUUCGAAGCCCCCAUUUAGGAUUCGCAUCAUGACAUUGUACAUGUAAUGGCCCAAGCAUGGGCAAUUUUAAUGCCAUGAAUUGCUGGUUGUAUAUUGAAUAUUACGUUCAGUUUGUAUUUUAUUGAGUAAACUCUGCACGCAUUGUAGCCAAUAGACUUCCGCCAAGGCACAUAUGUCUCUCUUUGGGUAAAGUAAUUGUUGUAUUCUUAUGAAAAUAAUUUAGUGUUAAUAGCCUGGUAUUUUGAAAAAGCAAAAAGAAAAUUAACUUUUAGACUGUAAGCUACAUAUCGUUCCUAUUUUUCUGUUUUGCGAAUGUGCAGUUGUCCCUCAGUACUCCGAUUACAAAUAUAAGAGGAUUUAUAUUUGCCCUAAGUUAAACGUUCUUAGUUUUGAUCACCAAUAUGUAUACUCUCAUAUCGACAAGUUAAGGUUGACCGUUGAUGUCAUAAGAUACACUUUCGUAGUAUGUAGCUCGUUUGAUUUAAGAUGAUUUUUGUAGAUUUAUUUACAGUCAAAGUAAAACAUUCGAAAGUGAGAGCAAGAUUUGCGAAUACUGAAUAUUACCUUUGUGUUUAAAUAUAUUCAAACGAUCCAAACAGAGCAAAACAAGCACAACAACGUACGGAGGAGCUGAUGCUGAUUCGUAAACGACUAUUGUGUUUUCUUCCUUCUGGGUCAUCCAAGCCAUGAGUAUGAAGCAAGACUGCAAGAGAUCUCUUAUGUCCUCAAAUCCUUGGAAACGUGCUGCAAAAAAGAACUUAAUCACCAGGAGAUUUGUCCCUUAGAUUUGUUUGUGAAGGAAGUCAGGAGUUGGGUAGAGAUGAUUGAGGAACAAGGUCCAUAUAUAUAUAUACGCAAAGAUGGAUCUACACUUCUUUGGGAAAUGCUCAUUCACAAAAUCAUUCUCCAUAUCAUGCCUCAAAGAGCAUUCGAAGCUCCACUGUCUUUAGCACAAUAUUUUGAGUCUUGUUGUCUUACCAUUUCACCGUGAAUGCAUAUUGAAACUGAUCAGUAUGGCAUGAAUAUGAUGACUAUCGAAUGUUAUACAUGGAGUGUAUGACAAAGGCAAGAGUCUGGAAGUAAUUUGUUCUAUUUAUCAUAUAGGCGUUAGUAGCUUUGAUUUGCAUUAUCCAUAGAAUACUUUAUAUGUGUUGAAAUUGAAACAAUCGUGCAACUUAUUUUCUUUAAGCAUACCCAUUAUGUAUUUCUCUAUUUACUCUACUUGUUGACACAAUUAAAAUUUAAUUUUAUACUCCCCCUCAAAAGGAAAUUCAAAGUGUUCAAGGUACAAAAAAUUCACCACAAAAGAGGAAAAAUAUUUAAAAGGAAGGUAAAAUGUUGCAUAGAAGCUUAUCUUGUUAUCGAUAAUUUCAUUUUUCCAUCACAGAUGUUAGUUUCUUGCAUGCUCGAAUUUGAACAGACUACACCAGCCCAUAUAUGCUACAUUCUUUUUUUGUUUUUGAAUUUUUUCUUAGUGAAUUAGAAACUAAAGCAAAAGUCUGUUUGUGCUAUUUGGCAUAAGAAUUAAAGAAACCUGCAGAAAGAUUCAAUAGUUUCCACAUUUAAGCUGUAAAAACUUUAGAAUCAUUUGAAAGUAUGCCACUGGAACACAUUUUUGUAGAAAGACUCUUGAUUUUUUAGAUUUUCAACUCAUACUCAAUUUUAGUAGUUUUCACGUUUAAGCCCUUCAAACUUUAUAAUUCUUUACAGUUAUGUUUUAGCACUAUUUUUAUUGACUUCUGCGCUCAAGCGAUCGUAGCAAUAUGUAUAGUUUAGCAUGCCUUGUUUUUCCUGUAUAUGAUGACCAGUGUACUGUUAUUAUCUUUUUGUUUUCUUGCUUGUAUGCAUGGUUACCUUAGAUGCUUGUGAUCAGUAGGAGAGUAAUAUGUGAACUUUCAAGAACAAAACUUCAAAGACUUCGAGCAUGUAGUUUGAGGCAGACAAGUGACCUUGACCACUUUGCCCUAUGAAUGUUUAAUCACUUUUUGCAUGUUGUGUCUUGGUAGAAUGCAGUUGAGUUGUAACUAUCUUUGUAUCUAAAAACUCUCUUGUUAAAAUAAAAAGAUAGAGAUGUAAUCAGUAGUUAAGAAGAACAAAAUAUAUUAAGUCAAAAUUCUAUGUGUCUACCAAACAAACCAUGGAUAUUACUCUGCUAUAACAAAAAAUGCGUAAGGAAAUUGCAGACACAUAUUUUGAAGUUGCUAGUUUUCCUAAUCAUAUUAAACUCACGUCUUUGACAAAUACAAACAUGCAUAUAUAUGAUGGUUAAUCCAAUCCACAAAGCUCUAAUUAAUAACCAUCCACAAAAGUUCCUAGCUCGAUGAGAUUUCUGCUACUAGUUCCAAGGCGAACCCUAGAACUGCUACCAUUAACACCAUGCUAGUCAAGUUUAUGAUCCAAAAGUAAGCUAAGAUCUUGAUGGAAUACUUAUUAGCCAUCAUGUGGCUAUUUCUUCUGAAACCCUCCUUGAAAGAUGGCGCCGUUGCUGCUGCAGCUACUACCAGGCAGCCCUGCCAAGUCAUUCCCCUCCUGGAAUGCAGCAGCAUCCAUGGGACCGGGAUUAUUGUUCAUCCUGCUCACGGGCGCCCACACACCGGCGGGCAUGCGGUGCUCAAGCUGGUAGCCGGUACCAGCAUGUCCGGCAGCAAAGUCUGCUUGUCCAGCAGCAACAUAAUCGUCGACGUACACUCCACCUCCAGUGGCAUCAAAACCUAGCAUAAAAUCAUCAUAAAACCCGGCCGCGGUGGCGCUCCCAUUGGCGAAGUUCGUGAAAAAAGUGGGGAAGUCCAUGGUGCCAGUCAUUCCCAGGUCAUGUGGUGCUAUCAGCGUUGUCGUCGCCGGCGGCAUCUGAAAGGUGUAGCUCGGCAGCGGCAUCUGAUGAUAGGCAAGGCAUGGCGGUUGGAGGGGCACUGGCUGUGGCAGUGGCAUCAUGUCAUGAGGAGGGUAGUCGUACUGCGUUACCAUGGAGCCGGCGUCCGGCAUGGCGAACGCGAGGUCGAAGGAGCUGUACUCCGCCAGCGGCAGCGGCAUGGGCACGGCGUGCGGCGCGGUGACCAUCGCGGUCGCCGCCGGCAGCACGUCGCCGCCAUCGUCGUCGAGGUGGCCGCCGAGCGCGACGAUCCGCUGCUGCGCCUUCCGCAGCGUCUCGUCCAGCGCGACGAGGAGGGUGCCGAGGUCGGCGGUGGAGAGGUCGGCGAGGCGGCAGUCCUGCAGGCUGAGCAUGUCCGGGCCGCACUGCUCGAUCUUGAGGAGCUUGCGCUGCUGCUUCGCCAGUUCCUCCUGGUAGUACGUGGCGGCGUUGAAGCUGUGCCUGAUCUUGUCCGCGGGCGUCUCGCGGUACUUCUCGAUCAGCUUCAGCACGUCCUCGCGGUUGGCCGGCCACGUCGUGGCUGCUGCAGCGCCCCCGCCGCCGCCGUCUUGCCCGGAGCCGGCGGGCUUGGGGUCGAAGCAGACGAGGAGGGCCUCGACGCCGCAGAGGGUGGCGAGCUGCGAGGUCUUCUGGACGAGGCCGUCGCGCCGGUUCUUGUAAGUCGCCCUGCGCUUCUUGGGGUUCUCGAUCAGCUUCAUUCCAAGCUUCCCUCGAGGCAUCGUCGUCGUUUGUUCUAGAUCUCUACAAAGAAUUGAUUGUUGAAGGACAAAAUCAAAAUUUCAUUGGGUUCAUGCGUGGUUGCAAUAUAUAGAAAUUAAAGGUGAAUGGUGUAAUUAAGGAACUGGAUAUCUUCGUGAUUAUAUUAAAUCUCAAGCGAACCUUCUCUACAAGCAAAUGCAUUUAUAGAAAGUGUUUUUAUUCAAUAAAGAAGAUUUUUUUUUCUAAACAUAUAAGAUGCUGAUCGAUGCAUGCACCACCAAUCAGAUCAGACCGGGGCGUACCCAGUAUGGGACGGUAGGACGAGUCUACACAUGUACACCUCAUCAUUUUUGCGAAAGAACAAAAAUCGAUGUUAGCAUGUAAUUACAUAGUCGGAUUUAAUACAAAUAGCAUACAUCAGGGUUUCCAGUGUUCGAUUUCGCACCACAGGAAGGGGAAGGGAACAGAAGGGCAUACGUGUCUGAUGCUUGUUGGCGGGCGAAGCGCCCGUCGCAGAUCAGGCAAGGGUGGCCGCUCACCAUGUCAUCGUCGACUCGCUGCUAGCUAGGAAAGAAAGCUGUUCUGGGCCGGUAGGCAGCCGAUCGAUGGAUCUUUUUUUUUACCAUCGGUUCAAUCAAAUAGUUAAAAUCUAUUAUUAUCUAUUAUUAGUAGUAUAUACAGAAAAAUACUAAUUGGAGAAAAUUUGGACCAAAGUUUAGUUCGGCCUAUUAUUGUGUAACCAUAUAAAUCUCAGCUUUACAGUCUUUUUUCGGAAUGCAUAGAUGUCUCUGCAGCUAAAAAAAGUAAAAAGGUGACAAAUCUUCGUAGUUGGCACGUCGUCUGCUUCGUCCGCUCCUCCCCACCCCAUUUUCUUUUCCACCUCCCGUUUUCCACCCUCCCCAUGUUCUUUUUUGUCUUGAGCCGUCGUCGCCUCUCCUCCACCCUUCACCCGCGCCUCGCCUCCUCCCUCCCCCUAGCCACGCCUCCUCUGUCUGCCUCUGGGCAGAGUCUUUGCGUCAUCUGGGCAGGCCAGCUCCGACGGGCUUGGCUCGACGCCGGUGAAGAAGGGCAUUACCGGGCGGCGCCUCUCUCCUCCCUCAAUCCUACCCCUUGACGGGCAACCAGCUUGAGGGCGAGGGGUUGGUGUUGUGCAGGCAAGGGGCCACGACGCUUGGAGGUGGUCAGGGCCAUCUUGACGGUAGGUGUACACUAGUGGAAAUCCGUAGCGUUACCAGCUUCGGUAACGACGAAUGGCUUUCGUUACUGUGAAGGUCAAAUUCGUCACAAAGGAAGUUCUGUGAUGACCAUGUGAGCUCCAUCGAGGCUAUAUUGUUGAUCAUGAAUUUUUUCACCAACGAUACCUUUUAGAAGCUCACAAUACCUUUAACCAUGGCCAGCUCCUACAUGAAGCGUAUGGUGAUGAACCAUGACUCGGAGGGCUCCCUAAAACCUCCCUAGGCACGGUCACACCUCGUGCUUAGCAGGCCACACACCUCCAAAGAGCAACAACCUAGUCCAAGAGGGAUCGUGGUACGAUUCCUAUUGAAGACAAGCUCAGCCAUGUGACCAGACCCUAACAUCGGGGCUGGGCCUGUGGCACACUCCAAUGACUGUCUAGGCCGUGGAGGACAUGCACAACAAGAAGGGUGUGCAUUGAAUACCGCCGUUGUUCCCUGCCACGUCACCGCUAGGCUUCUUGUCCCAUCCCAUCGGAGUAGGUGGACGCAGGUUCCUAGGUGAACAUCAAAGAGGAAUCCUGCUGGAUUCCCUCUCACCCAGCUAUGCAGCAUAUCCAUACCGUAAGAUCACAUUUGAUCUGUGCGCAGUGGGGAGGAGCAAGGCAAGAAGCAAGCAAGCUUUACAUUCUCCCCAACAUUUGAUCUCUGCCCCGAUGGCAUGCAGUGUGCCAUCUCUCCCACAUAAGUGUCGUGCCAUACGGAUGGGACGUAUAGUAGGACCAAGGAAGAUUCUCUUGACCACUGAUGGUGAGAGGGUAGAAGUAAAUUAUGGGGGUGUUUGGGAGGAGGGGAAUUUAGCCCUCGUCACAUCAAAUGUUUGACACUAAUUAGAAGUAUUAAACUUAGACUAAUUACAAAACUAAUUACACAACCUCUAGGCUAAAUCGCAAGACGAAUCUAUUAAGCCUAAUUAGUCUAUGAUUUGAUAACGUGGUGCUACAGUAACCAUUCGCUAAUGAUGGAUUAAUUAGGUUUAAUAGAUUCAUCUCACAAUUUAGCCUAAGGGUUCUGCAAUUAGUUUUAUAAUUAAUUUAUAUUUAGUCCUCCUAAUUAGUAUCCGAACAUUUGAUGUGACAGGGCUAAAGUUUAGCCCCUGUAGUAUCCAACCGCCCCAUAUAUUCUCCUAAAACAUUGAGCUCUUGUAUGAUUCAAACAUGCCCUUUGACAGGUGUUGUACCCAGAAUCAUCCAUUUGUACACCCCUCUCUCGAUGUAUUGCACCUGCAGCCUGCCUCUGCGAAGGCACGGUCCGGUCCCGAGAUAAGGGCUUCCCGAUUCCCGAUUCCUGCUAGACUCCACAUACAACCCAAGCUUGCCUUCAGUUCCCCUUCAACGAGCUCAAGCCAAGCCUGACAUGGGAGAGAGAGCCCCCAGCAGCUUUCUCCUCUCUAUUAUAUGCAACAUCCCAGCCACAAACAGAGACCGGAAUCUGAAGACAAAAUAUCACCUCUCUGUGCUCUCCAUUCACGCAACUGCUAGGGCAGUGGGCAGUGGCUACCAGUGUCUGCCCCUUGCUGAACUUUAAAGGGGGCCCAUCUGCGUUCCCAGCUCAUUAGCACAUAGCCCACCAAAACCUUCUAUUCCUUUUUAUUUGCACGUCCAACACGCACAUAUUUUUAGAAAAGUCCAGUAAACAAUAAUUUGAAUAUGCAAUGGAUUCUAAAAAGUUCAUAAUACACUUGACUACUCGCCUCAAUGGAUUUCAGUAUACUACGGGAAACAACACCUUUGCCGAGUGCCCUAGGCACUCGACGAAGCCCUAAAACACUCGGCAAAGCAUAUGACACUCGGCGAAAAUUCUGCCGGCAAACAGAUAUUUGUCGAGUGUCAUAUGUCGGACACUCGGCAGUCAGAAUACACUCGGCAAAGUUUAACCCCACUCACGGUGAGGGCUAGUUUGCCGAGUGUCACACGGCAGACACUCGGCAAAGUAUUGAGCCCCGACACUCGGCAAAGAAGCGUCACCAGCCAGCCUUUUCAGGGCACCUUUGCCGAGUGUCCGAGCCUUGACACUCGGCAAAGUAUAUAACCUUUGCCGAGUGUUUUGGCGUUAACACUCGGCAAAUUUAAAGCACUUGGCAAAAAAGAUCCAGAAUAAUAGAAUUUGGCAUCUUUGCCGAGUGUUAAAGCCAAAACACUCGGCAAACCUCCCCUUUGCCGAGUGUUACACUCAGCAAACUGUCCAAACAGCCCCUGUUUUUAUUAAUUUGUUACGUAUAAAGGAUCCCUCUCAAAUAACAAUCACAGACAUAUAUUCAGCAUCACAGGCAUAUACACACACAAAUAAGCAUCAUCAUCACAAUCCGUUCACAACCACAGGCAGAAACUUAAUCUGCAAGUCUACGUUCUAGUUUAAACAAGUAAUCCAAAAGUAUAGGUUCUAGAAAGCAUUGCUUGAUUAAAACAUCACAGUCAUUCAACCAAGUUACUGAGGAGGCAACGAUGGCCACUGCGACCAAGCUGGUGUGUCCGAGAAAGCAUUCGAUCCCGCCGACUAAUUCUGCACAAAGUUAAAGAGAUUGCAUAAGUCACUUUUAAUCAAGCAUUAAAGAGAUUAUAAGUUUGACAAGUGACUCACAGGAGUAGCUGCAGGAGGUGUAGGUGGAGGGAAUAGGUUCGGUGGCAUAGGUGGUGGAGUUUGACCCAUCCUCUCAAAAACACUCUACAUGUACUGGAACAUCGACUCCGACCUCUACCUUUCUGCCUGCCGAUCUGCCUCCCGUUCUGCAUGGAUCCUCGCCUCUAGGUCCUCCCAUCACUUCUGUUCUGCUUCCAACUGGGCCUACAAUAUGUCAUCUCAAUGUCAUAUUGCGAAGCAAAAGGUACAUAAAAAUCAACGAACGAUGAAAAGAACAGAAAUAACCUGGAGAGCCUCUAUCUGUAAUUAUGCAGUGGUCGGUCGUGGUCGUAUCGCCGGGCUCGAGUCCGUGCUCCUUGCUCGGAUCUGGGAGAGAGUGGGAGUAGAGGCCGUGUCGAUGACGCUAUCGCCAAUCCAAUACCGACCAUGCUUCUUGCCUCCUCCCACCCUUAUCAUGAUUUCUCCAUCAAUAUCCUGGGAGCUCGGAUCGAACUCUGGCCCAUGAACCUCCCUUGCCAUCACUGUAUAAUCGGUGAUGCGGCUGUGGAUGCUGGGAUGGUUGUACGCCUCGGGUGGGUCCUUCGGGUUGAAGUCGAUGUCGGCCGUUGCCUUGCCCUUUUUGGACAGAACACAUCCCUUGAGCUGGGAGCAAGGCUAGCCAUCAAGUGAUUAGAAAUUAUGCAGAAUUGAGCGUUAGAAUAAAGAAAUGAAGUCGCAUACCUAUUUUUCCCUGUAUUCAUCAAGGGUCAGGCUGCCUUGAUGGUGUGAUGCACCUGGCAUCAGCAAACACCACUCCCAGCAAGCAAGGUGGUGCUCCAACCACCCGGGCUCCAACCACACGUCCACUAUUCUUUCCUAGCACUGCAUAUGCGCUCGGCACCACCAUGCAGGCACCUACAUCAUCAAGUGUGUGACAUAUGAAAAAAGAAAUUAAGCGUAAUUAAUCUCAAAUAAAGUAAGUAUCAACCUUAUUUGCUUACCGUCAUGAAUUGGUCCUUGGUUAGGUUCAUUGUCCUUGCCUCUUCUUUUUUAACCUUCAUGCUUCUGUAUUGAGCGUAGAACUCGAUGAUGGCCUGGACGCGUGCCUCAUAGUGCAUGUCCUUCAUGAGCUUCUUGGCGGCUUGUUCAGAGACGGACUUUGCCUUGGCCUCGAAUCCCUCCUGGCAUCUGUAGAAGUCCUGCAUAUAGACACGAUGUAUACAAUUAUUAUUUCAAGAAUGUCCAAUGAAGCUGAUGUAUUGAGCAAUGUAGUGUGAGGAAUACUUACCCACAGCUCAGCCUUCACCCACUCCGCUACGUUGGGGAAUCUCCUGCGAUCACAAUCAAGGACGUCGGGGGCAGCGACGUAGUGGUCCCAUGUGUAGGCCCGCUGCUACUGUCCGGCGUACGCCACCAAGCCAAGGAAAUGUACCCUGCACAAAAGGCCAAGGAUGCUGUUGACCUUGCGGUUGUGAUCACCCCCACUGAGCUUAAUCCAACCCCUGCAAAAGUGAUUAAUAUAAAUUAUUAGUUUCUUUUGUAAUUUUGCACAUAUCAGAAUUAUUGAGAAUAUUUAAAGUUACUUACUUGUUCCCAGACGGUUUAAUCAGUGGGCAUCUAUGCUCAGGUAUCGGUCGCCUCGGGAGGGAUGAGGGACUUCGCAACCAGAUCCUGGUCUGGGAAUCCCCUGCCUCCUCUCCCUCCCCCUCCCCCUCCCCCUCCUGGUCCUGCUCCUGCUCCUCGUCACCAGAGGCAUGUGCGAAAGGUACCUCAUCCUCCUUAGGUGAUGGGGUGUCAGGUUCAGGCGACGGGGUCCUCGCCCCUUUACCCCUCCCUCGAGGCCUCUGGACCUCUUCCUCCUCCUCCUCCUCACCCCAGCCUCAAGGUCUGCCUCGACGCUUCCCUCGACCCCUCCGUGAAGCUGAAGCUGAAGCUGAACCUGACCCAGAACCUGAACCCCUCCCUACAGCGGCCAGUCUCUUGCAAAUCGCCGCGAGCUUCCUCGUACCACCCACCAUUUCUCAAUUACCUACAAUUAAAAAGAUAAACAAAACAUACUUAGAAAGAUAUGCAAAAUAAACUUAACAUACUUGAAAAAUAACAUGGUAUGAUAGAUAAUAAAUAAAUUAGUACAACUCAUACAUGUAUUAGAAAUAAUCGUCAUGAUCGGGAUUAGCUGGAUCAUAAGUCUCAUCAUCACUAUCACACGUGUCAAUAUAAUCAUGCCCGUGCUCCGAAGGAGGAAUGUCGUCAUCACUAUCAUUGCCUAACUGUAAUCGCUGAAGUAAUUCUAAGUCCUUCGCAUUCUAAACCUUGUCUCUAGCAUCCUCGUCAGCAACCCUUUCAUUGUCUACUUCCAUUCCGAUCGCUUCGAUUAAGUCUAUCAUAAAAUUCCCUUCGAGCCCAUCUUCUUGGAAGAACUCUUCGUCAUAUGUGUUGGGGUCUAUAUUGUAAUCUUCAUUGUUUGGUAUAGGUAGUUUACCGUGUGGCAAUACCUUGUACACAACAUCCCAACCCUUAAGAUGGCUGUCGGUUUGACACGGGUAUGACAAAUAAUAAACUUGUGUGGCCUGUUGAGCCACAAUAUAGACAUCGUCUCCUGGUAAGAUGGAUGAUUGUCGAAUUUCAAUUAGCCAAAGAUUAGGGGCCCAUCUCACGACAGAUGGAUCAAACCAAUGGCAUUUGAAUAUGACUGGAUUAAGAGGUUUGCAACCAUGAAAAAUUAGUUCGUAUAUUUCUUCAAUUCUUCCAUAGUACUUGAUCCCAUCAAAGCCUGGUGUAAAAACUCCAGUAUUUGUGGUUCUUCGAUUGGCCGACUCUGCUCGUGGCUUGUUGUGUGAAAGCGAUAUCCAUUGACGUCAUAAUCGGUAAACGAUCUGACCCUAUAGGCACAUCCAUCGGCAACCUGUCUCAACUCGACAUUCAUAGACACAUUGGUUUGGCCCUGCAAGUUCAAGCAGGGUGGUUCAUUAUAUUAUUCACAUGUACAAGAAUUGAUGAUGAAAUUGGAUUGUACCUUCUGUUUGAACCAAGAAAUGAAAUCGGGCAUUCCAUUUCCCACACACACUCUGAGAAGAGUCUCAGUUUCGUGCUGGUACGGUUGCCUUGAUUUAUGCCAGAAUUGACGAUGAAAUUCCCUGUACCAACGAGAAAUAUGCGAGUUGGAAAAAGAAUAGUGACUAGUUCAAAACAAGUUUGUUGAGAACUUACAGCAUGUACGGCUCCACCUCGGAUAGGUUGGUCAACACAUACAACAUGAUAGUGCGCCACUCUUCAUGUUUCAAGGUCUUGUGGGUCGCACCACUUGCACUUCCGAGUUGCCCUCAGAAAAUGCUAAGGCUCAAUUCAUCUUCGCUGGCAUUGUAACGAGGAGGUGGAUUAUGCAUGCUAGUAAGGGUGUCAACAUAGUAUUUUGUUGUGAAGUUUGACACCUCCUCCAAAAUGUAUGCCUCUGCAAUGGAUGCUUCAAUUUUACAUUUAGUUUUACAUUUAGUUCGAAGAACCUUUUGACAUCUCUCAAUUGAAUAGCACCAACGGCCCUGCACAGGCCUUCCCCAUUCGUGCUUCAUACGGGAGGUGUAGAAUCAUAUGUUGCAUCGGAUUGAAGAAGUCAGGUGGAAAGAUCUUCUCCAACUUACAGUGUAAUGACCUAGAUUAACUCAGCUGAGUUUAAUCUUAAGACAAAUCCCCUAAUCCGGUUGACUCAGCCUUUCGUGACCUAUACCGGCUAAGUCUGGUUUUCAGCCCAACCUAGCGCCUUAGGGAGGGUUUAUCUUUGGAAAGUUGAGCAGGACGCCAAGAAAACUCUUUAUAGAAGUUGGAGAACGAAGUCCCUGCUUUAGCUUUGUUAAUUGGACCUUGAUCCAAUUCGCCUUCGAAGAUUCCUGAAUCUGCAUCUCAAAUCAGCCCCGACCCCUGAAACCCAACUAACCGUCGUUUUCUCUAAGUCCCGAAACCAGUGUUCCUCUGAACUUUGGAGCCCUGGAUCUCCAAAUCCACUGCGUUUUUGGAUUCAGUCCAAUUACAAGAGUUGGGCCUUGGCCUGAGUACUACAACUCUUGUUAAGGGAGUCAAAGUGGUGCAGUUUGGAAAUUGGGAGAUCAGGAGGCUAGAAGAUGGGCCCGGCAAGGAAUCUCGCGGAUCCAUCGGACAAAGAGUGCCAGAGCGCGCGUGCGCCCUGUUUCAGAUCCCCGCCGCCGCGUGGUGUCACCACACCGACGAGUGCCGCCUCGCCCAGUCGCCAGUCGCGACAAGAUGGAUCAGCGCGCCUCUUUCCCAAUCGCGCGCAGAAGCGCCCUGCAAACUUUUCCGUCCCAUCUCGUCUCGCCCGAAGACCUCGCCGGCCGCGCCAGGCGCCCUGCCGCCAUUGCGACCGAAGAUUGGUCGCUGCCGCACCAGUACCGCCUCGCCUCCCACGCACAUCGCCUCACCCGGAUCCCCGGCCGUGCGCCCCAACGCCUUUCGGCCCUUCCGUCAUACCUCAGUCUCGCUGCCCACGCGCGCGCACCGCGACGAUACCGCCUUCGCCAACCACCGCGCAGGCAGUGACAACUCCUUUUCCCCCGCCUCGCCAGUCGUGUGCCACGGCAGAGCCGCUAGUCCGCGCAUGCUCACGUCGCAUCGCUCGCCCUGUCACCUCACUUGCAGCGCCCUCACCUGCAAUGCACCUCUCUCCCUCUUGUCCGCCGAUACCGAGUCGCCGCAACCAAUCCGACGCUUGACGCGACCAGGCACGCGCUCGACCUCGUCAAUCCUUCCGCCCGGCAAAACCGCGCUUGCCUAGCGCUGUCUUCCUUGCCCAAUGCCAUAAGAUCCUAUCCCCGGAGGUCCGCUUCGCCGGCCAAAGGAGACGCCCACCAAUCGCCGCUGAGGCAGAGCACUCCUUCUCCCUCGAUCUUAUCCUCGUGCCGCUCGAGCUCGUUCACUUCUGCGCAGCUAUAAAAGGGGUACCAGAGCCUCUUACUAGAGUUCCCUUCACCAUCUUUGCCCUUGCCGCACUGAUUGCAUGGUUUCAUCUCCUUCGCCCUCGUCGCCGCACACUCCUCUGCUUCACGCGCAAGUGCCGCCGUCUGAGCUCUCUGUGGAGCUCCCCUUCCACCCAACGACGUGCCUUGCCAACCCCGCCAGCUGUUUCGCCUUCCUUCGCGCUAUGCUAGAGCUUGCUUGUUGUCCACAAGAAGCACCGCUGCCACCGGAGCACCGCCGGACCUCGCCGCCACCCAAACCUUAAACGCUCUUUGACGUUCCGCCUGAGCUUGCUUCUUCCCGAUCCCAUGACUUCAUCAGUAGGACCAAAAGUAAGCUACCGACCCAUGUCCGCCUCGCCCGAGGGCUCGCCCGUAUCCUUUUCUUUUGACCGAGGGUAUCUGUGUAAAAUUUUGGGGACUUCUCUGUGUUAAGUCUGAGGACCUCGGUACAGUUAUUCCUUAAGUCUAAGCGUCAGAUCGUAAGUUUUUCCUGAUCCGACUCUUUUAUCUUGUUCUAAAUCAAUAGAAGCUUGGGAAAUUCAUCUUAAAUCAAGCAAAAAUCAGAAAAAUGUGAAAUCAUUUGGGUUGGAAUCCUCUUUCUGAGUAGAAUCCAAUAAAAUGGGUUCCACACCUUUGUGUAGUUUUGCUACAGUUUCUGGGCUAAAUCUUACAAGUGUUGUUGAAAUAACCGUCUAAGUGUUUGACCCUUGCAUUUGCAUUCCGUGUAGAGCUAAACCUUGUUGACGGCACGUACGAGCUGCACCUGGUGCCAGAAAACGGAGUUGUAGCCGAGCUGCCGCCUGCAGGAGCUGAAGCCGAGAGCACCGAAGAUCAGUUCGCUUCCACCCCGCUCAAAGGCAAGCCCCGGAGCAUCACUCAAUCUUUCUAAACUUGCGCAUGCCUUCUGUUGUAUGUAUGUGCAUUUACAUUCAGAAGUUGUUUGGAACCAUAGAUGCAUGACUUAGAUCCCUUUUGAUCUGAACACUAGUAUGAUAGGCCGAGUAGUUGCAAUGCUUAAACAGGACUUGGUAAAAGUCGAGUGAUUUCCGGUCACUCGCGAGUUGUAGGAGUUGUUUGAUCUCCUUUUUGUCACAACUAUAAGGACGAUGGACGGGGCAAGGCUCGGUGAACUAUUUUGGUGGUCGGUGGAUUGCCCCGUCUGUCUACAUGAAAUUGGUUAAGGUCGAAAAGUGUUGGUGUUCAUGAUCAAGUGUUUGAAAGUACUAAUCUCAUACCUAGUAUGUGAUGGGGAAGCCUAGUACCUGAUUGAACUAGGGCAUGGCUUAUACCCCUGCUGUCCCUGGAAUGAGGUUCCCAUGGUGCAUCAUGUGGGUGCAAGUGCGGUCAAUGUACGACAAGAGGUCGGGACUGUGGAGCAUUGCAUGCCAAGGGAAGUUUGGACCUGACGCACGCCUGGGAAUUGAUGGGGACGGCUGACAAAUGAAGCGACCUUCGUGGUGCGCGGAUGUCGUGAGAUUAGGUUCGCCAUGCAUGGUUAAGAAAUUCGAAUCGAUUCGUCUGCCUCUCAUAGUUUGGGACUGCUUGAUCGCUAUGCUGCACUAAGUAAGAAUGGAACUUGAAGAUGAUGUAAUAUGUUUCUUGUCAUAAAUUGAUUGGGAACUUUUGCUUGUUUAGUAUAGCUGCUAACUUAGUUUGGUAAAUGAACCUAGAACUGGAAGCUAAAAUAUUGAAAGUAAGGACCUACUGUAGGCGCUUUUGGCAAAGAAAAUCCCUCAGCCAAAAAGCCUUGCAUGUCUAGAAGUUGGUGGAGUAGUUCCCACUGGUCGGUUAAGUCUUGUUGAGCAUAGUUGCUCAGCCUUGCUUGUGGCACAUCUUUCAGGGGAUGUUGAAGCUCCUGAGUUCGCUGCUGUUGGCACUUGGCCUCCCCAGCUUCCACCUAGGUAGACGGUCGAGUGGGAUCCUUCCUCGGACGGCAAGGAUAGGGAUCAAUGAUGUCAUGAUUGGUCUCAUCAGUGACAUCCGACCCCGGCGCUAGUGUCCGCUGGUUUAUCUUUUCCGCUGCUUACGAACUCUGUAAAACUUUGAUUUUCGAACCAGUGUUGUAAGAAAUUAAUGUACUUGUUUAAGUUGGAUGAUCUGUUGUAUUCUCUGAAACCACUCACCUUCGUGUGAGUUCUGUUUGGUCUUACCGGAUGAAAUCCGACGGGCUGCCAAGUUAACUUGAUUAAAGCACAAGAUCGCGUGUCAGGUGACUUAAUUGUGCUUUAGCUAAGUUAAUUAGGGCGGUUUUGCCACAUACAGAGCAACACAGGCGUCAUUGUUUCCAUUUCUGCAACCACGGUACAAGAUAACUCCUUCGCACAAAGCUGGCGGAAGAAAAUGCUCAACUCCGCUAGCACCUGCCAGACAUGCUCAGGGACAUAGCCUCAAACCAUCAUCGGAAGUGGGCACUCAAGCCAUAUAUGGUAAUCAUGACUCUUGAGCCUGUUGAUUUGCAUAGUAGCUAAAUUCACUCCCCUCUUCAGAUUCGCUGCAUACCCAUCAGGGAACAUUAAUGUUUGGAACCAUUCUAGUACCUCCCUCCUUUGGGCCCUCGUCAGAACGAAACCAGCCUUAGGCUUUCUCCACGACUUGCCAGCUCUUGGAGGCACCAUGUCUAGCUUUGGCCUAUUGCAUAACCUCGCUUGAUCCACUCUAGCCUUAACGUUAUCCUUUGUCUUGUCAGGAAUGUCCAUGAUUGUACCAAAAAUUACCUCAGCGAUAUUCUUUUUAAUGUGCAUUACAUCAAUAUUAUGUGCAAGAAGAAGGUUAUAAAAAUAGGGGAGGUUCCACAAGCACGACUUCUGAGUCCAGGCAUGUUGCUCGCCAUAUCCCACAAAACCACCUUCUUCAUUAUUGACCUCGAGAGCGUCUAACUGAGCACGAACUGCGGCUCCUGUCAUUAUCUGUGGUGCGGGGUCUUUAACUACAACAUCUUUCAUAAAGUUCUUGAUGUCUCAUCUGAAUGGAUGGUCAGGAGGGAGGAAUUGUCAAUAUUUGUCGAACGAAAAAUACUUGCCACCCUUCGACAACCAAAUGAACUUCAAAGUUGCUUUGCAUACUGGGCAUAGGGAACUUCCCGUGAACACACCGGCCGCAGAAAAUCCCAUAAGUUGGCAAGUCAUGCAGGGAGUACUGGUACCAAAUAUGCAUCUUGAAGUUUUUCUUUGUAGCUCGGUCGUAUGUCUAUACCCCUUCCUCCCAAGCAUAGAUCAAAUCACCAAUCAGAGGCUCCAUGUACACACUCAUAUUAUUCCCCGGGUGCUCUGGAAUUAUCAAUGACAAGAAUAUAUUCUGUCAUUGAAAGAGGACGCCAGGAGGGAGAAUGAGGGGGAUAACAAACAUGGGCCAACAGGUGUAUGGGGCAGCCACCAUUCCAUAAGGAUUGAACCCAUCUAUUGCCAACACAACACGUACAUUACGGGCCUCUAGAGCUUUCUCAGGAUAAAUCGCAUCAAAGCUUGUCCAGGCUUCACCAUCGGAUGGGUGUAUCAGCUUCUUAGGAUUGUAUUGACGUUCGUUUUUGUGCCAUGUCAUCUGUUUUGUGGAUUGUUCAGUCAUGUAAAGCUGUUGGAUCCUCGGUAUGAAAGGAAGAUACCGUAGAAUCUUCACAGGGAUUGCGAGCUGCUUCUUCUGACCAUCACCAGAGUCUACCUUCAGGAACCUAGACAACUCGCACUUCACACAGUACUUUGCUUCCGCAUACUCUUUCCUAAAUAAGAUGCAUCCCUUCGGGCAAGCAUCUAUAUGCUCGUAUGGCAUCUUAAGUGCACGAAGGAGUUUCUGUGCCUCAUACAUGCUCUUUGGCAAGAUGUGACCAUCCGGGAGCAGGCUGCCAAAAACUGUUAGCAUAAUAUCGAAGACAUCUCGACUCAAGCUAAACUGAGACUUCACGGCCAUUAGGCAUGCAAUGGCAUCCAGUUGAGAAACCUUGGUAUGCCCGUGAAAGGGUUGCUGUGCCGUAGACAACAUGUCGUAAUACGCCUUUGCAGUAGCCUCUGGCUCCUCCUCCCUCCGUGCUUCAUCGAAGUGUGCUUCAUGAUAGUCAUUUAACAUGUCUCCCACCCCGACAUCAUCAUCAUAUUCCUCGAUGCAUUGUCUCAAGACCUCGUCUCUCCCACGAUUGGCUUCACCAUGGUAGAUCCACCUGGUGUAGUCAGACGUAAAUCCGUUCAUGUCUAGCUUAGUUUGCCGAUGCAUGUUUCCACAUUUGCUACACGAACACCAAGUCGAUCUAGCUCCUUUGACACUUGCAAAUGCCCGUUCCAAGAAAACAUUCGUCUUGUCAAUCCAUUCAUUGGUCAACGAAUUUUGACUAGAGCGACCCGUGUACAUCCACUGACGAUCCUCCAUCCUCUAGCAUAUCAGCGAGUAAUAUAAAAAAUCACGUUGCAUCUACACGUUCCUAUACUGUCUAUUAGGUCCUAAUCCCACCCGAGGAUGUGUAGAUGGGUCUAGUUUCCAUGGUCUACUCUGACCUGAGACAGAAUUUUGGCAGCACCUCCCCGCUGUUCUCCAAAUACACGUCCUGGAAGGGAGAUUGUGUAUCCGGAGAACAAUAGGGAGGUGCCGCCGAAACUCUAUCUUGGAUCAGAGUAGACCAUAGAAACUAAACCCACCUACACAUCCUCAGGCUGUCCAAAAAACAUUGACAAUUUGAAAUAGAUACGGUUAUAGAUAUGCAAAGACCUGCAUAUUUCCAACCGUAUCUCUUUCGAACGGGAGACGCCUAACUAGGUUACGUGAUAUACGAACAUCAUACAGAAAGAGAGGUGUAGGAUGCCUCACCUUGCUAUCCUGCAAAGUGACGAGUCGUGGACGGUAACGUAGCCUCUCCUGCAAGAAAAGAAACAUAGAAGUGUCAAGUCGUAAUUUUGGCAGCACCUCCCCUGCACGGGGAGGUUUCUAAAACCUGCAUCAAAUCAAAUGGAACGAUGGCCGACAACCACAUCCACUCCAAUUUAACGGCACGAUGGCCGACAACCACACACAGUUUAAAAGAAAGAAAAUAAUUCAUAAAUCAUUCAUCCUUUUCUAAUUUCUAAAAAAAAGUCCUAUCACCUCCCUCUCAUCCUACCCUUUUAUAAUUUCUAUUUUUUUUUCAAAUUUCUAAUCUAUAACUCCUUUUCUAAUUCAUCCUAUCAUUUUCUAAUUUCUAAUUUUAUUUUCUAAUUAAUUUGAACAACAAAUAUUGAAGAAUUACUGCCCGAGAGUGGCGAGGGCGCGGGCGGGGCUGGGGCACGCUGGGGGCCGGGUGGCGCCGACGGGUGCUUUCUCGGGGAGCGGUCGGGGCUGGGGGGCGUUGGCGAGGCGCGCCGGCGGGGCGGGGUGGGGCGUGCCGUGGGGGGGGGGGGGUGUUGCGCGGCGCGCCGGCGUGUGCUUUCCCAGGGUGCGGCCGGGACUCGGGGGCGCCGGCGAGGCGACACGCGCCGUGGCGGGGGAGUGGCGGCGGGGGGCGCUGCCGGAGGCGCGCCGCCGGGGACGGGGCGAGGGAGGCGCUGGCGUGUGUGUGGGUGUGUGCGUGAGUUAGGGCGGGCGGUCGGGGUUAAUUUAGGGGCUUUGGCGAGUGCUAGAUCGCCGGCACUCGGCAAAGUUCCUUUUUUAUUUUUUUCCAAUUUUCAAACCAUAGGUUCGCAUGGCAGUGGGCCCGCGGAAAUGUUUGCCGAGUGUUGAAUAGUAGACGCUCAGCAAAUCCGAGUGUUUUCAUAUGAUACUCGACAAAGUACGCUUAUAUUUCAUGUGUUAACCUUCAAUCACGUGUUUUACUUAUUUUUCCCCGAUAAAUUUUGAAAAAACCUUGUCAAAAUCACUAAAAAAAUACCUAUUUCAUUUUUCAACUAAUAUUUUUCCAUUAUUUCAUGGAGUAAUAGCUCAAAUUGAAUUUAUAUCUAUUAAAUUUUAUAAUUGAAGUUAAUAAAUAAAAAUUAUCAAAUGGAUCCGAAAAAUUUCCAAAAUUUAACAUGAACCAAUCUAUGUUGUCUAUUGCCUAUACAAAAAAUUUUGAAGUCAAACCCAAAUUCUAGUGUCAGUUGGAUUCAAAAUCUUACCGGAUCCUUUCAACUUCUACAAAUCAUCUCCGAAGAUGCUUCGAUUUGUAAGCAUCAUACGUCACAGAUUGUGCGAAACCUUCUCAAUUUUUUACCACAGCCUCCACAUAUGAUAUCAUGGCAUCUUGACAAAUCUCGUGAUUUUCAGGCUUCAUUUGUUCUUUUAGAAUUUAAAAAUCAUUCGACCACACGUUCGUGGUCGUGUUUUCUGAACAAAAUGUUCGAAAUUUCUUUUCAUUUCCUGGAUGAGACCUCAAUUCAGACUCAAUAAGAUGAAUAUGAUUUUUCCACUCAUUUUAUUCCAUUAUUUCAAUCACUUGCAGUUCAAAUUUGACUAAAAUCAACAAAUUACUCUAAAUGAAAUUAAUUCAUUAAAUAUAGCAAACAGAUCAAGAAAUAGACCACCUUCUAACAUGCGGUGCCAAAUAUCGUAUGUGGGGAGUAGAAAAAGUGUGGAGGGUGGAGGAGGGAAAAAUAGUUUUGGUUUUGCCGAGUGUCACAAAAAACACUCGGCAACCCUAGGCAUUUGCCGAGUGUCGUGAGAAAACACUCAGCGAACCUAUGGAGUUGCUGCCGAGUGUCAAAAAAACACUCAGCAACCCUAGGCAUUUGUCGAGUGUCGUGAGAAAACACUCGGCAAACCUAUGGAGUUGCUGAGUGUCGCGCAAAGCACUCGGCAACCCUAGAACUUUGCCGAGUGUCUCUAAUGGACACUCGGCAAAGGACUAACGGCUGGCACGCCCCCCUAACGGAUAUUGCACGUGCCGGUCACGUGGUGAAGAUUUGCCGAGUGUUGUUUAAGGCUUUGCUGAGUGUUUUCUAUUUGACACUCGGGAAAGAGGAUUUAUGCCGAGUGUAGAAUGUUUGCCGAGUGCCUUCACGGAAACACUCGGCAAACACUUCCUUUGCCGAGUGCUCGAAAUAAAGAACUCGGCGAAUAAAAAACACUCAGCAUUUUUACUGUUUCCGUAGUACCCAACAAUUUAUGGUCCAUAUACUGCACACAAUUUAUGGUCCAUAUUGCUCUCUUCCUAGACAAAGUAACCCAACAAUUAAGAAUUGAGAACUACGUACUUACAAAAGCAAUGCUGCCACCUAGUAACUUUUGUCUAGGUUUAAAUUUUCCAUGCACAUAGUAUAACUGCAGAUGUUAUUGUCCUUGCUUAGUCGUCUGGCUGACCGAUGACCGGCUGAUUCCCCUCGUCGCCUCACCUUCUUGCUGCAGCAUCCCCGCCAUGCAAGCUCGUAGCUGCAUCACUCUAAUAUAAACGUUGAAUUUCCUUGAUAGUAAAGCUAAAAAUUAGCACCAAAAAGCAAUAAAAUAUACUGCAUCAGACCAACCAUUGGUGAUCGAGGAGAUAAAAUUAAAUAUGAAAAAAAUGUCAUUGGUAAUCGAGGAGAUAAAAUGAAAUAGGAAAAUAGUACCCAUUAAGACUGAAUGGCUGAUCAAUGAAGAUUAAAGAGCACCCAAACCCGUUUGUCAGGUUUGGUAGUUUGGCAUUUCGACAAACACGUGAUGGACAAACAUCACAUCCAUUAUUCCAUGUUAAUUGAUCUUUCUAGAGUCACAACUCUCACAAGGUAGCAAUAACAAGAACAUAUUAACACGCAUCAGAUUCAGAUGGUGCGGGUUUGGCUGCUUUUUGUUGACAGGAAUUCAAUUGACCGUAUUUGCAUGAGUGAAUUACACAGUAGGAUACAAGUCUACCGAACCUGCCGAGUUGUGACCUUGACGGGCUCCUUGGGGAGGGAAAAGAUGCCCUCAACGUUGACGAUGGACUCCUUGCGGUGGGCGGUGGUGAAGCACACCAUCUGCGUACUGACGGCGACAUCGGCGCUGGCGACAAGCACGCACUGCAUGGUACUCAUGCUCUACCGCGCUCCGCGCAGCAGGACGAGAAGGCUAUCUUGUCGCUGACCAGGCAGAUAGCCUGCGUAGCCCCGCCGAAUAAGCACGGAGCGGCUUGCGGCGGCGGCGUCGAGCUCGCCGGAUCCACGAGCGGCCGGAGACGGACUUUGGACUGGAUCUUCUCGAUGGGGACAUCGCCGUAGUUGGCCACGAAGGGGUCCUCGGCGCCGGCCGUUUGCUCUGGUGCUCCUGCUGCUACUAGCGCUGCGCCGCUUUCUCGGCCUUCGCCUUCCUCGCGUCCUUUCUGAUGCUUCUUGCUGAGGGUGGCGGCGGAGAGGUCAGCCGCUACUGGUAGAGAAGAGCUUCCGUCCAAAGUUUUUUUUUCUCCCGGUUGUUUUCUCCCGGUUGUUUUUAUCCGGGACUAAAUAUCUUUAGUCUCGGACCAAAAGACCACCACUGAUGCUCACCAAUGGGGAGCUCUUUAGUCCUGGUUGGUAAUAUCACCGAUGCCCACCAACGGGACGUUUUGUAACGGCCAGUGGCUCUCGGGAAUCUGACGGGACGUUUUGUCCCAGUUGGAAAUACCAACCGGGACGAAAGGGGGCUAGGGGGGUUAGUCUCGGUUGGUGUUUCCAACCAGGACAAAAACUCCUCGCCUAUAAAUUCAGUUUCUUCCUUCCCGAGCCCGAGCCACUCCGACCGAGAGCUUCAGGCUCCUUCUCCAUGGUGAGCGAGCAACCUUUGGGAGGUGCUGCCCAAUUUUUUUUCUUAUUUUCGUGGAGAUUUCACUCAUCCAAAUUGUUGUAAAGGUUAGCUACUUUAUCCUCCUUCAUUUAUUGUUAUUAUACUUUAUUUUAUGCUUUAGAGAUAGAGAAAAAUGAGUUUUUUAGAAUGAAGGAGAAUGGAGAGAAUUUUUAUAUAUACAUGGUUUUUAGCUAGAAUUUGAUGGAUAGCUUGCUUGUUAUAUAUGAUUCAUAUUAGAUAAAUAUCUUGAUCAAUAUUAGGUAUGGAAAAAAAAUAAAGUAAAUAUAUUUUUAAUAUUUAGUCAUUGCAAUAAAAUUAAGAUAAAUAAAUUGUAGGGGUAAGAAAUAGAAAUAGCAUCAUGCUAGGCAAAAAAAAUUUCAUGCAUGCGUAUAACUUUUUCUGCUAGUUUGUGUGAUCAGUAUGUAAAUAAAUUGUAUUGUAGGUGUAAUAAAUAGAAUUUGGUCAUUGCUAUAAAUUUUUGGAAAUUAGAGUGACAUGAAAAUUACACCGGUCAAACAAAGAUACACUAAAGACUAUAGACACUUCAUAGUGGACUUCACGGAGUCAAGAAUUAAAAAAGAAUGGUAGAACAGAAGAACUUCGAGCUCACAAACUCAGGAUGAAUAUCAUAAAAGAAUCUUGAAAUAGUUUUCCAAAUGACUUUUGGAACCAUAUUUUCAUAAUAGAAGUAUGGUGGCCCAAUAGCAUGUUCAGGCAGAGAUCUGUUUACUGAAAAUGGGCCAUGCUCGGUGAAUAGAUCUUUUGCCUGGACGGGCUACUGUCUGCCACCAUACUUCUACUAUGAGAAUGUGGCACUUGCUCCAAAAGAUGUUUGAAAAAUUAUUUCAAGAUUCCUUUAUGAUAUUCAGCCCGAGUAUGUGGACUUGAAGAUCUUCUGUUGUAUCAUUAUUUUCUAGUACUGGAGGAGCGGAGGUGACUCUCCAUAGACUUCGUAGAAGAUUGAGUCAUGUGCGGAGAUGGCUUGGAGGGCGAACAUUCUGCUAUGUUGUACCAUUAUUUUAGGAUAAUUGACUACGUGAAGUCCACUAUGGAGCAUUUGUAAUCUUUAGCGUAUAUGUAUCUUUAUUGUCUUGUUCCAAAAUACUAGCAUUUUUCUUUUUGUCGACCUACUGAAUGAUAUGAAUGAUCAUUGGUGUAAUUUUUAUGUGAAUUAUUUUUAUCUUUAUGAAGGUUGAUUGGUGUAAAUUAUCAAUAUUAAUCAUAUUUUUUAUAUAAUACAAAGAUCUAUGUCCAUUUUUCAUGUAAUAUGAUGCAGAUGGACUGGUAUGGACGUAUAACGCGGACAGACGGACUAAGGAGUUUGUUGAUGGCUUGCAUUAUUUUCUCGAAGUGGCCAAAGCCAACAAGCCAGGGAAAGGAUUUAUAUGUUGUCCAUGCUUCCAAUGCAGUAACCAGAAGGACUGCUCUUCCUGGGGGACUCUUUACAUACACUUGUUUAGAUACGGUUUCAUGCCUAACUAUUUGGUUUGGACCAAACACGGUGAAAGAGGGGUUAUAAUGGAAGACAACGAAGAAGAGGGGGAUGAUAACAACAUUCUGGACUGGGCUGCAGGCCAAGAUUUUGCAGAUACUACAAUGGGCGAGGUUGAUGAAGAAAAAUUUGCAGAAGAUGGUCCUAUUGAUGAUCUUGGUCAAGUGCUACGGGAUGCAUAGAAAGAUUGCAAAACUGAGAAGGAAUCAAAAAAGUAACAGCGCAUGAUAGAUGAUCACAAAAAAUUGUUGUACCCAGAUUGCAAGCAGGGGUAUAAAAAACUAGGUACCACACUGAAAAUGCUGCAAUCGAAGGCUAAAAAUGGUGUGUCCGAUAAGGCAUUUCAGGGGAUAUUGAAAAUUGUAAAUAACAUGCUUCCCGAGAAUAAUGAAGCCGUCCACAACAUAUGAAGCUAAACAGGUUGUUUGCCCUCUGGGAUUAGAAGUUCAGAAGAUACACGUAUGCUCUAAUGAUUGUAUCCACUAUCGUGGUGAUGAAUAUGAGAAAUUGGAUGCUUAUCCUAUGUGCGGAGCGCUGCGAUAUAAGAUCAGGUGAGAUGAUCCUGGUGAUGUUGAGUGGCAGCCUCCCAAGAAGAGAGUUCCCGCGAAGGUGAUGUGGUAUUUUCCUAUAAUACCAUGUUUGAAGCGUUUGUUCAUAAACAAGAAAAAUGCUAAGUUGAUGCGAUGGCACAAAGAAGAACAUAAGCAAGAUAAGAUGCUGAGACAUCCCGCAGAUGGGGCCUAGUGGAGAUCAAUUGAUAGAGCAUUCCCGGACUUUGAAAGUGAUGCAAGAAAUAUAAGGUUUGGUUUAACUACUAAUGGAUUCAAUCCAUUCGGUGAGUUGAGUAGGGGUCAUAGUACUUGGCCUAUGACCCUAUGUAUGUUCAACCUUCCUUCUUGGCUGUGCAUGAAGCGGAAGUUCAUUAUGAUACCGGUGCAUAUUCAAGGCCCAAAACAACCCGGCAACGACAUUGACGUGUACCUAAGACCGUUGGUUGAUGAACUUUUACUACUCUGAAAGAAAGAAGGUAUACGUGUGUGGGAUGAGGAUAAACAAGAGAGUUUUGACAUACGAGCAUUGUUGUCCAUAACCAUCAAUGAUUGACCUGCGCUGAGUAACCUUUCAGGACAGAUAGACAAGGAAUAUCAGGCUUGCACCUACUGUUUAGACGACAUAGACAGCAUGUAUUUGAAACAUUGUUGGAAGAUCGUGUAUAUGGGCCAUCGUCGAUUUCUUCCUGCUAACCACCUAUUAAGAAAGAAAGGGAUGCAUUUCAAAGGGGCGUCAGACCAUCGUAAAAAACCUGCAUACCAUAAUGGAAAGUAUGUAUUUGAGAUGAUAAAGGAUGUAAGCGUAGUCUUUGGAAAAGGUCUUGGUAGCGAACCUAUUCUGAACCACGAUAACGGAUGUGCACCCAUAUGGAAGAAGAAGUUUAUAUUUUGGGAGUUAGCUUAUAGGGAAAUCCUAGAGGUCCGCAACACAAUAGACGUGAUGCACCUGACAAAAAAUCUUUAUGCGAAUGUGCUAGGUUUCAUGGGUUGUUAUGGGAACUCAAAAGAUACAUUGGAAGCAUGACAAGACCUGAAACGUAUGAAGCAAUGAGAUGACCUACAUCCAGAAAAGAGAGAAAAAUGACAGCAUUACAUAUGUCCUGCCAGUUCCACUCUCAGCAAGGAAGAGAAGGAUAGCAUGUUUGAAUGCGUGAAUAGUAUCAAGUUUCCGUCUGGGUACUCCUCAAAUAUAAAGGGAAAAAUAAAUAUGAAAGAAAAGAAGUUCACAAAUCUAAAGGCCCAUGACUGCCAUGUUGAUGACCCAGUUGCUUCCAAUUGCAUUAAGAGGUAUUCUACCAGGGAAUGUACGAUUGUCGCUCAUAAAGCUCGUUUCUCAAUGCGAUUUCACAAAAGGCAAUUGAUCCAACCAAGCUACUAAAGCUAUUUAACGAUGUGGUACAAUGUCUUGUCGGCUUUGAGUUGGUAUUUCCACUAUUCUUCUUUAAUAUUACGACGCACCAUCUUGUUCACCUAGUCAAAGAGAUUACUAUUCUCGGUCCAGUAUUCCUGCACAAUAUGUUGCCUUUCGAGAGAUUUAUGUCAGUCUAAAAAACUAUGUUCUCAAUCGUACCCGUCCAGAAGGAAGCAUCGCCAAGUGAUAUGGAAUAGAGGAGGUCAUUGAGUUUUGUAUUGAUUUUAUUGACUCAAUUAAUUUGAUUGGUGUUCCAACAUCACGCCACGAGAGAAGGCUACGGGGAACGGGCACCCUUGGAAGGAAAUCAAGUUUGAGCAAUGAUAGUGAUUUGUUCCAUAAAGCACACUUCACGGUUCUGCAGCAAUCAUCCUUUGUGACUACGUAUAUCGAGGAACACAAGCAGAUUCUAUUUUUCCAAUACCCAACAAAAUACGAUGCCUGGAUUAUAUGUCAUCACAUGGAUACUUUUCCCUCUUGGUUGUGUUAACACCUUAUGGGUAACUCCGUGAUUCACGAACAACUCGCUUGGUUAGCCAAGAGACCUUCUAGCACAAUCGUGAAAUUUCAAAGUUACGAGACAAAUGAUUAUACAUUUUAUACGAGAGCCCAAGGCCAAAAAAACACCAACCAAAAUAGUGGUGUCCGUAUAGAUGCCAUAGACAGUAAUAGGAGUAAGGACUCGUAUUAUGGUUUCAUAGAGAAGAUCUGGGAACUCGAAUACAGACCAUCCCUCUAUUUUGUUGCCAAUGGGUGAAGCUAAUUGGAGAUAGCGUAACGAAAGAUCAGUAUGGAAUGACAAUAGUGAACUUGACCAAGACUGCAUACAAUGAUGAACCAUUCAUCCUUACCAAUGAUGUGCAUUAGGUUUUCUAUGUGAAGGACAUGUCUAGCAAACCCAAGAAAAAUUUAGAAGAUAAAGAAAAACCAUGGGAGUCAAAGGGCCACAUAGUUCUUCUAGGUAAAAGAAAAAUUGUCGGAGUCGAGGACAAAACAGGCCAGUCAGAUGAUUAUGAUCUAUUUGAUGGCAUGCCUCCAUUCGCUGUCGAAGUUGACCCAAACAGCAUGCUAGCCAAAGAAGAAGCUCCGUACUUACACCUUGAUUGACCAAGGAACUUUCGUCAAGAAAAAGUUUUUUAACGUUACAUUGUAAUGCACUAAAUAUGGUGCACCUUUAUGUAAUGCUCUAUGGCCAUUAGAACCUUUGAAUUAUAUUGUAAUGCUCUAUUGUGAACCUUUAUUCGAUCAAUAUAAACAAUGUUAACCACAUACAACAAUUGCAUUUUUGCACGUUGAAAUUAUUUAAUUGAAGAUUUUGUUGAUGAUAGUGAUGCAUUAAAAUAAUUAUUUUAGAAACUUAAUCAACUAGUAUAGAAUUAAUGGCUGAUUCAAACUUAUUUUAAAUAUACUUGCUAAUUUAAUAUAUUUUUGCAUGUUCAAAAUAUAUAAAGUUUUUAUUUUUCUUUAACAACACUAGUACAAAACAACUUAAAAUAUUCAUAUAUUAAAACUACAAAACCAGCGGGAAAUGAAAAGUUGGGGCCUUUAGUCCCAGUUGGUAAGACUAAAUGGUGGCUUUUCAUCUCCCGCGCGAAAAGCACCCUUUAGUUCUGGUAGCAAAUUCAACCCGAGACUAGGGUGUUAGGAAGCGCGGGUAUGCUACUCGCUAACACACAAAAAUAUAUCCGUAUAAACAGGAUCACUUGCGAAUAGAUGAUCAUAGAUUACACCUUCUCUCAUCGCGCGUCACAGCGGAAGACUUGACGAAGCGUGUGUAGUCGAUGUCGAGGAGGUAGUCGUACGGCCUGAUGUAGUGCGCAAAUGAGUGGCACCUCUACAGAAGUCCACACGUCCAGAGAGAUGAAUGGCACGACGGAAUGUGCUAGCACUUGACGGCGUGCGCCGAUGGACAGCAGCAGUUCCUGCAUAUGCACCUUUAUCCUAUAUUUGCAAGCACAAGCGCACCAGCCGGCCUGCGUAUCACAGGUGAUAGCAAGCACUCACCCCACACGCAAGAUGAAAAAGGUGCGGCGGCCAGGAAUCAUGUGGCUAGGGUAAUUAGGGUUUACCUUUAUUCCCUUGGCCGGUGAUUAGUAUUUAUAGACUAGCUAAUGGGCCAUCCGUAUGGGCCAUUUGGGCUGAUCCACUCUUGGCUCUUGGGCAUACUUCAAUAGUCUCUUACUUGCACUAGAGUCAAUCACCAAAGCUAUAUACCGCAAUGUCCUGGACUGAAUCCAAUUAAAUCAUUCGAUUCUCUCUCCUUAAGUGCGCGACCCUAUAGGUUCAUGCGACCAACAGUCAUGACAUGGACACCAUUUCCAAUCAAUAGUUAGCAUUAGUCUGUAGCAAGACAUACUAUCUUCUGAAGGUCCACGAAGAUCAUAUCCUGCAUAACCUGUGACACUCACCAAUACUAUAUCCUUCUACCACACGACACCUAGCCAAGUAUAAGGCGAGUGAAGUGCUACCCUUAUUCUUAGCCAUUUCUCGCUCAGUGAAGAACCUUUUUGAUUGACUAACCUUUAAUCGAGGCAUGGCCAUGCGCUUCCAGUUCAUCACAUUGAGACGGUCCAGAGGAGUCUCUCCCUGAAACGGGAGGAGCAGAUUCCUUCUUAAUUUGGUACACCCUGCAACUUGCUUCAACCACAUCCAAAAGCUGCUUUUAUAACUACCCAGUUACGGAAUAGCAUUUAGUAACCCCAAAAUGCGAUGCUCCAAUAUCCGGGACUCUGCACCGAUCUCAGGUCAGAGGACAUAACAUGCGUGUUGUUACGAGACUCACCGAUAGCAGUGUACUCACGGUGUCUUGUAGUGGGUCUAUCCGGCACCGUGUUCCUAACACGUGCCUACAUUGUUGGCGCAAUAUCCUAUAUUGCCAUGACCUGUGAAAAAAGAUCAUCCACCCAACACAUGUACCAGCUUAUCUCUACGUUGUAGUCCCGCAUGACGGAUGGAAACUAGGGAUCAUUUUUAGUACAAUAUCAAUAUUGUAUCAUGGAGUUUCACUAACGAAUCACAGAUUCGCUAAUCACAUAUAAUGACAAAGUUAUGGAACAUAUCACUGAAAAAUGCAGAUUACAGACGUUGAGAUGAUGUCAUCAUCUUAUGACUACCUUUAUGGAAUACAUCAUCAUAAGCCUCCCACUAGUGCUAGUCAGUUAUGCCAGCAUCUCAUGCCAUUGACUUCAUAUGCAUCUCAUGCUUUGCUUGUGGGAGUGGCUUAGUCAACGGACCUACAAUGUUCAGGUCGGUGUGCACCUUGCAUAUCUUCACAUCUCCUCGAUCGAUGGUUUCUCGAAUCAGGUGAUAUCGCCGUAGUAUGUGUUUGGACUUCUGGUGCAACCUAGGCUCCUUUGCCUAUGUGAUAGCACCACUAUUGUCACAAUAGAGGUCUACGGACUGGAGCAACUAGGGACCACGCCCAACUCAGAAAUAAAUUUUCUGAUCCAUACAGCUUCCUUUGCAGCUUCCGAAGCUGCAAUAUACUUGGCUUCUGUUGUCAAAUCUACAAUUGUCUCUUGCUUGGAACUUUUCUAGCUCACUGCCCCACCAUUGAGGCAGAAGACAUAUCCCGAUUGAGAUUUGCUAUCGUCCUGGUCAGUUUGGAAGCUAGCAUCGGUGUAACCAUUUACAACGAGCUCCUCCAACCUCCAUAGACUAGGAACAUAUCCUUAGUUCUUCGGAAGUAGUUAAGGAUAUUAUUUGGUGCAACCUAAUGACCAUCACCUGAGUUGGAUUGGUACCUGCUCGUAACACUUAGAGCAUACGAGAUGUCUAGGCGUGUGCACAACAUGGCAUACAUGAUCGAGCCAAUAGUCGAAGCGUAUGGCACCUGACUCAUCCUUUCUUGCUCAUCAGGCGACGACGCACACUGAGUCUUGCUCAAGGUUACACCAUGUGACAUAGGUAUGAAUCCUUUCUUGGAAUCAUUCAUGUUGAACCUAUUCAAAACCUUGUCAAGGUACAUGCUCUGGCUCAAUCCAAUUAAGCGUUUAGACCUAUCUCUAUAGAUCUUUAUACCUAGUAUGUAGUCUACUUCUCCAAGGUCCUUCAUAGAGAAACUCUUUCUUAAUGAGGUCUUGACAUCCUCCAUAAGCGGAAUAUCAUUCCCAAAUAAUAGUAUGUCAUCUACAUACAAGAUUAGAAACACGAGUGUGCUCCCACUAGCUUUCUUGUAAACACAUACCUCUUUAUUUUUAGAGAAGCUAAACGAUUUGACUACCUUGUCAAAAUGAAGAUUCCAGCUCCAAGAUGCUUGCUUUAGCUUGUAUAUAGACUUCCUAAGUCUACACACUUUUCUAGCAUUUUGCUGGUCGACAAAACCUUCAGGUUUUGUCAUGUACACAUCCUCACUUAGGUUUCCAUUAAGGAAAGCUGUUUUGACGUCCAUUUGCCAAAUCUCAUAGUCAUAAUUUACGGCAAUUGCUAGAAGGAUCCGAAUAGACUUCAGCAUGGCGACAGGCAAAAAUGUAUCGUCAUAGUCAACACCUUGAAUUUGAGGAAAACCAUUCACUACCACUCAUGCCUUAUAGAUGUGAACCUUUCCAUCAGCGUCUAUCUUUUCAUGAAAAUUCAUUUACACUCAAUGCCUCUCACGCCAUUGGGUGGAUCAACCAGGUUCCAAACCUGAUUCUUUCUCAUGGACUCCAUCUCAGAUCGCAUGGCAUCAAGCCAUCUCUCAGACUCCGGUCCCAUCAAUGCUUCUGUGUAUAUUUUAGGCUCCUCAUUAUCCAACAAUAAGAUGUCCUGCUGCCCUGUAAUUAGUAGCGUGUACUUAUCAGGUGCGUGACGUGCCCGUGAUGAUCUUCGUGGUUGAGGUUCAUCAUGUUGGUCAGCGACCAUCGCUGAUUCAUCAUGUUGCACCUCAUCAAUGGGAACUGAAACAUUUUCUUGUAUUUCUUGAACUUCUUUAAGUUGCACCAUGCUCCCACUAAUUUCUUUCGAGAGAAACUCUUUCUUAAGAAAGACAACAUUUUGAGCAACAAACACUUUGUUCUCUUGACGGUUAUAAAAAUAGUAUCCUUUGGUUUCCCUAGCAUACCCCACAAAGACACAUUUAUGAGAUCUAGGCUCGAGUUUAGUGGACGUCAAACGCUUCAUGUAGGCUUUGCAGCCACAAAUCUUCAAGAACGACAAACUAGGACGCUUCCCAGCCCAUAUCUCAUAUGGCAUCUUCUCCACAUAUUUAGAUGGUACAUGGUUUAGUGUGAACGCAACAAUUUCUAGUGCAUAGCCCCAAAAAUACAAUGGAAGAUCAGCUUGACUCAUCAUAGACCUCACCAUGUCCAACAAGGUUUGGUUCCUCCGCUCGGACACACUGUUCCACUACGGUGUUCCUGGCGGAGUCAGUUGUGGAACAAUUCUGCAACUCUUCAGAUGAUCGCUAAACUCUUGGCUCAAAUAUUCUCCACCAUCAUGAUCAGAUCGUAGGAAUUUAAUUGCCUUGUCGGUAUGAUUUUGUACUUCAUUUUGGAAUUCUUUGAACUUUUCAAAGGAUUCUGCCUUAUUCCUUAUCAAAUAGGUAUAGCCAUAUCUACUCAAGUCAUCAGUAAAGGUAAUAAAAGUACUGAAAACCACCUCUCGCGAUCGAGUUCAUUGGACCGCAUACAUCUGUAUGUACUUGGCCUAAUAACUCGCUUGCUCUCUCACUUUGUCCAACAAAGGGAGUUUUAGUCAUUUUUUCAAGUAGGCACGACACGCAUGUCUCAAUCGAUUCAAAAUUGAAAAGAUUGAGAAGACCAUCUUUAUGGAGCCUCUCUAUGCGUUUCUCGCCUAUGUGGCCUAAACGACAAUGCCACAAAUAAGUAGGAUUUGAGUUAUCUACGCGAGUUCUCUUAGUAUUAAUGCUAUUAAUUUCUGCAUCUUCUAGAUCAAGAAUGUAAAGCCCAUUCACAAUGGGACAUCUCCCAUAGUACAUGCCAUUCAUAAAAAUGGAACAACACUUGUUCUUUAUUAUGAAUUCGUAACCAUCAUCCUCUAAACAUGAGGAGGAAAUAAUGUUCUUAUUCAAUGCAGGAACAAAAUAACAAUUAUUGAGUUCUAGCACUAAUCCAGAAGGAAAUGAUAAUGGAUAAGUGUCGACUGCCAAUGCAGCAACCUUUGCUCCAUUCCCGACGCGCAAAUCCACUUCGUCUCUCGCACAGCGUCUAAUUAUUUUCAGCCCCUGCAAUGAUUUGCAAGUGUGAAUCAUUGCACCAGUAUCAAAUACACAUGCAUUAUUAGAAUGUGUAGCAAGAUUAAUUUCAAUAACAUUAAUACCUUGACCGAAGGUCGCACCUCCUUUCUUAUUUUUAUCUUCCAAGUACUUCUUGCAAUUCCUCGACCAAUGCCCCUUAGCACCACAGUGAAAGCAAGCAUCAUCAGGGGAGGCACCAACUUUCUUUUGUUUUUCUUUGGCCUUGGACAAGAAGUACCACUUUAGGCAGGUUUCUUAGCCUUCGCUGGGUGCUUAUGCUUCUUACUCUUCUGGACUAUCAUCACAUGACUAGAAGUCUUCCUAAGACUCGCCUCUGCCGUCUUAAGCAUCCCAUGCAACUCAGUCAGUGAUUUCUUCAAACCAUUCAUGUGAUAGUUCAGGAUGAACGGCUCAAAGCUAGCAGGCAGGGACUGCAGUAUCACAUCGGUGGCGAGAUCGUCAUCGAGGGGAAAACCCAGUCUCUGCAAGUUCUCAAUGUACCCAAUCAUCUUAAUCACAUGAGGGCUGACUGGAGCACCUUCAGCAACUUUGCAACCAAACAGGGCCUUUGAGGUAUUAAACCUGUCAACCCUUGCCUGGUUUUCGAACAUGCUGCGUAACCCCACGAUCAUAUUGUAUGGGUUAGUGCUCUCAAAUUACUUCUGCAGCUCAGAGUUCAUGCAAGCAAGCAUCAGGCACAACACAUCCACUGCUUCAUCAGUAUGCUUCACAUAAGCACGAUAUGCACUAUUGGUGUGCGCAACAUUCUGAGGCUCUUCUGGGUAAGGCGUAUCAAGAAUGUACACUUUUUUCUCUUGUCUGAGAACAAUUCUCAGGUUCCGAUUCCUAUCAACAAAGUUUGUUCCGUUCAGCUUAUCUCUAUCUAGGAUCGAUCGUAGAUUGAAGUUUGAUGCACUAGACAUUUUCUACAACAGUAAGAUAUGCAACGGUUAGCACUUCUUUUAUUAACACUUUUAACAAAAGAUUUCCUACUACGUUGUGUGAACGUCCCCCGGCGUUGCAUAGCAGGACGAGAUCCAACGUUCCCUAUGAUACUAGUGAGCUUUGGCAUCACCGCUAACAUCAUAGUGAACAAAGUAGGCAACACUUGCCAUUGGGCGACAUCAUAUGUCUUGGCUCCCAACACUUAUGCCCCAAAGCCCAAGUCCGACUUGAUAGCUCUGUCAAGCAAACCAACACUAUGCAUUGGUGUCCGACACCACCGAAUGGAUCAAGGUAGAAGAUGAUACCCUGCUUUGGCAGACCCAUCACCUACUAACAAGACCCCAAUGGUGCAGCUGUUGAAAGGGCAUAAAAUCUUAAUUUUUCAUGAGGGAUUUAUCAUGCUCAUCACAGGCAAUGCAUAAUAAUAAUCAUCACAGACAAUCAAAUUAUUGUGAUAGUAUGGCCUUUCUUCGUCCAACAAAAUCAGCACAUGUCGACGACUGCUAGUGCGCACGCCUAUGCCGAGACGUCGCAUCUUGGGCGCCUUCUCCAAGGUACGACGGUCGUCGAGUCACUUCACUCGUGUUAAAGAAUUACAUACUCUAGUUCAGCUAAUACACCCUAGUAGCUAAAAUAAAAUAAUAAAUUACAUCACAGGAGUGGCACGCAGGUCGAAUAGGAACAGCCUCAACCCGGCUGUAAUAAUUUGUGACACGCAGGCCACAUGAAUUUAUUACACACAGAUCACAUGAUUUUGAAGCCAUACCAUCACAUCAUUCUCUGCAAAAACAAGUUAGGCAUUUCUACGAACGAUGCAAUGCGUCCCUUUUUUUAUUAAAACACGAUCCGGUCCCGUCAACCGAUAACGGAUAGAACAGAUUUUUCGCAUGCUACCAGCAAGCUAGCAGACAUGGCGUUCUAGCCAAUAUAGCCGUUCACGCCCCGUAUCAACUGCUUCGCUACACGAACUCAUAAUCUCGUGGUCAGCCACGUGACGCUCGCGCGCCGUCGUAAAGGCGGCCACUUAGCCAGUCACAUAAUGAGGAAGCAAGAAUGGAGUAAAACAGUCCAAUUCGCACGUAGUGCUAUUCGCCAAAACGAUCUGAUCUACAACCAACCAUGCAAAAUUUUUAAUCUAGAUAAAAAACAACACAAGCACAACUCUGCUACCACUUUUAGGAAACGCGGGCAUGCUACUCACUAGCACACAAAAAUAUAUCCUCGAAAACAGGAUCACUUGCGAGUAGAUGAUCAUAGAUUAUACCUUCGCUCAUCGCGCGUCGCAGCGAAAGACUUGACGAAGCGCGAGUAGUCGAUGUAGUCGACGUCGGGGAGGUAGUCGUACGGCCUGAUGUAGUGCGCAAACAAGCGGCACCUCUACAGAAGUCCACACGUCCGGAGAGAUGAAUGGCACGACGGAAUAUGCUAGCACUCCACGGCAUGCGCCAAUGGACAACGGCAGUUCCUUCGUAUGCACCUUUAUCCUAUACUUGCAAGCCCAAGCGCACGGGCCAGCCUGCGUAUCGCAGGUGACGGCAAGCACUCACCCCACACGCAAGAUGAAAAAGGUGCGGCGGUCAGGAAUCACGUGGCUGGGGUAAUUAGGGUUUACCUUUGUUCCCUUGGCCGGUGAUUAGUAUUUAUAGGCCAGCUAAUGGGCCAUCCAUAUGGGCCAUUUGGGCUGAUCCACUCUCGGCUCUUGGGCAUACUUCAAAUAGGGGGGUUAAGCUCCGCCCCCUUCUCCCCCGCCUCAUCUCCUCCUCACUUUACUCCCCCACCUUGUCUCCUCCGUUUUCCGGCGCCCGUCAUCCCGUCGUCGCCACCGCCACCGUGCUGGCCUGCCUCGUCCACGCCGUCCUUCUCGACGUCGCCAUCGCCCCUUGCCUCCGCGCGCCGUGGCACCCCCUGCACCCUCCCCCGGCCUCCCCUCGCUCGCCGCCACACACCACCGUCGGCCACCCCACCGUCCCGCAGCCCCGCACACCGACCGGCCUGCCGUCCGUCGCACGGCGCCCCGAUAUCUACAUUAAUCUUUCAACUAAGGCUCUGAGGAUGACUCACAUAGAUAAACUCAUAUAUAUGACAUUUUUAUUUACUUGUAAGGCCCCUAUUGGGAGGGUAUACUUAACUGGCGAGCACACAAGCGAACAAUAUAAUGGCUAUGUCCACGGAGCAUAUCUUGCAGGUAAAGUUAGUUUCAUGCUCCAGUUGUUGGAGAUGUUUUCUUGGCUGAAGUUCUGAUUCUUGAUGCUGUGUUUUACUUUCAGGUAUUGAGUCGGCAGACAUCUUAAUUAAAUGUGCCAAUAAAAAGAUGUGCAACUACCAUGUCCGCGGCAACUAUGAUUAAGUUAUAAUUAACGGUAAAUACUAAUAUCCCCCUCAGAUAGUACUAACAGAAACUAUUGCUUAGUUACUGCAUUCCCUUCUAUGUAUUUACUAUUUUCUCAUCGAGUAAAAUGCAUAAGAGAUCCAUCAACUUAUAAGGAGGUGCUAAUUAUAAGGUGCUGCUAAUUAGGUCCACGAACUUUGAAAGUACAUUUUUGGAUCCAUAAACUUGUUAAGUCGUUCACCGCAUGUCCAUACCCCUUCACAUAUGCAUCUAGCGCUGACGGCAUCUGCUACGGACCCAUGUGGAGAGGUAUGGACCUAUGGUGAAUGAUAUAACAAGUUUAUGAAACUAAAAAUGCACUUUCGGAAUUCGUGGACCUAAUUGACACCUCCUUACAAGUUGAUGAACCUAUGGUGCAUUAUACUCUUUCUUAACGUUACUUUUCCAUAUCAGUAUGACACGUUAUUUCUUAUUUUCUUGUACAGGUACUAUCUAUCUGGAGAGAAAAUAAAAUCACAACUACAGGUUUCUAUCUAAAGAAAGUUUUUCAAUUUUUUUUUUGGAGGCAUGUGCAACAGAUACCGCAGGUCUAAAUUUAUGUAAUUCUAUACGGUUAAGCCACAUCUCCAAAAAAAAAAACCCACUGUUACAAUUUUUUCUGAGAGCCAUAUUUUCAUUUUUGGUUUGCGGGCACUACUUUCAUAGUUUCCAAAUAUUUCCCAUGGCCUAUUGCAACUGUUUUUGAAGUAUUGAGAAUUAGUCAUUUACCACCGGAAACUAGAUCUCCUUACUAUUAUCAAUUAUAUUCAUGCCAAUAUUACAUGUUAUAUAGGAACAAUGGCAAUUUCCGCCAUUUAAAACCCCAAAACCAUAAAAGCUGGGAGUAAAUCUUUUUUUUAUGUUGACCAUUGACUCAGCCAUUAGAGUAUCGUUGAAACUCUUCACCACUCGGACAAACACAUGGUGGAAAUGUCAAAUCUCAAAUAUAUUCCUAAUAAUCCUUGGGUUCUCAAAUCUCAAAAGUAUGCUCUCUACGAGCAGGACUGUGGAGCCAAGUUUGAAACUAUUGGGGUCUCAGCGCAGUAAAUAUCAUACUGCAUAUUGCUCCUAUUAGAUUAGAUAGGUAGGAUUCAAAUUACGAAAGUUACAUCCAAACUCUUUACUAUUCAGAUUCAUCAUGUUGUCACUCCUGUUUUCGUUUUCUUUUUCCCAUCGGAUCCAGUCGGAUGGUUUUGUUUUGUGGGCCUGAAUCUUGCCCCUCCCGUGGGCUGAUUAGUUUUUAGUAACUGGUUUCACUAGUGGGCCUCAUUCUUUGUCUACCUGGAAUUGGAUUUUGCUGGCAUUCUUGCUCCUUCGUGCGUGGCCUGCUUUUUGUUCUCCUUGGCUAGGUUACAACUUACAAACCAUCCAUAUAUACUGACUACAAGAAAUAUAUAUGACCUUAUUGGAUCCGACGGGAAAAAGAAAUUUGAAUUAAAAAUUGUAAAAUAGGAUCUGGCUAUGGUUUACAACAUACAUUACUAUAAUACUAUUGCCGUCCUUCUGCAUCGUAUGCUUAUGCUUAGUGCUCUAAGCGCUUGAUUGAAGUAUGAUAAGUACUCUGUUUUCAACCUGUAAGACUCCUGUUGAAGUAUAUCCAUGCAGCUUAUCUUGGAAUACUUCAUUACAUACUCGACAUUGUUGGAGUUUUAUUUAGUUGAUCACGUGAAUUCCUUAUUUUUAAUCUCUUUUUUAUCAAUGUAGUGAAUGACUCUCCAGGUAUCUUGGUUAUGCGUGACAUGAAUAAAAUGUGCAAAUACCAUUUGCACGGCAAGUAUAGCUAGCCUCAAUCAAGCUAACUUUUUGCAAGUUACUGGGCUACAGAGCCUCAAUAUAGUGAGGGCCUAGUUACUCUCUUAAGCAAAUUUUACACUCUUUAUAUAUGUUUGCCGUAAUUUCACACAUCUUAUUAUGGACUACGAAUGAAAUGUAUGUCUCCAGAAAAAAUUAUUUAUUGAAUUUUGUCAUUGCCAUAAACACCAGAGCACCAUCAAUUUGCUCAGUAGUGGACUCCUGAUCCGGUAGGUAUGCCACUUCGGCUGAAGUAAACUGGUGAUCUCAUUGGUUACCAGAAUGGAGCACCAUAGGCCACACAGCAACAGGUCGUGGAAAUGAGGUCAGACGAACCGGUCCCUGCCCUGCAAAUGGGUCAAAGGCUUUUGCAGUACCUAAAGGUGUUCUGCUGAACAAUCACUCCAGAAAUGUAGUUUUGUAUGGUUACUUUCCUCCUGUGAUUUUGUAUUGUUUAUUGGAACACACCAAUUGCCUCUGCUCAUCUCCCUGGACACUGAGAAUGUGCAGUACCACUCACCUAGUCUCCCUGAUUGUCGCUGCCAGCAAGGCACACAACCGAAGCACGAACCGCAGCCCAGAAUUCGGAAGACCAAAACUAGGCCACCACCAAUGGCCGUUCGAUUCCAAAUGAUAGUUGCUAACAUGUACUCCUGAAUCUGAUCUAGGCGUGUUUGUUCCUCGAGCUAAAGUUUAAUCCGUGUCAUAUCGAAUAUUCGAAAGUUAAUUAAGAGGAUUAAAUAUGAGUCAAUUAUAAAACUAAUUUCACAGAUGGAGGCUAAACGGCGAGACGAAUCCAUUAAACCUAAUUAAUCCAUCAUUAGCAGAUGUUUACCAGCACAUUAGUCAAAUCAUAGAUUAAUUAGGCUUAAUAGAUUCGUCUCGCUGUUUAGCCUCCAUCUGUGGGUUUUGUAAAUAGUCUACGUUUAAUACUUCUAAUUAGUAUCUAAACAUUCGAUGUGUCAGGUGCUACAAAUAAGCAGCUGAAACCAAACACCCCCUUAGUCUGUCUGCGUGUUUAAGUUUUUCAACCAUUCUCCCAAUCCAAUGGACUUGAAAAUGGCGCAUGUGGCGCACAAGUGAUCAACGUCGUAGGAUGCUAUUGCCAACUUUGUUAGAUAUUGUGCCGAAUAUUUGUACAAGUUCGUUUACGAAAAGACUUGAAUUGUAUUUAGCAAUACAGGGUAGAGUCCAUGUUAAACUCUGUAACCCGGACCUCCUCAUAAAUAUUAGAGAAAGGCUGUUGUUUUAAACAUGACGAUAUAGCGACGGGCUCUCAGAGGGGAGGUGGCACGAUGCUAGGACCCCAGAGUGACCAGUGUUGCGGUAUUAGGGAGUAGCGUCUGUAGUUAUGCCUCGGGGAUGUAGGCUUCGGCUGAACCUUGUCAACAAAAAUCGUAUCUCCGGUGUCGUAUGUGAUCUUGCAUAUUUGUCUCGGUAGAUCCAAUCGAUACUUUCGCUGGUGGAGAUUGGCGAACGGCUCGUCGCCGCGAUGGCUAAUUUUCUAACGAUUAGUAUCAAGAGUUUAUAGUUUAGACUGUAUGUAGAGGAAGAUCACCUGGAGUCACGAGAGUUCUGCGAGGCGUCGCGCAACAUGCGAUUGGUGCGGAGCGGAUUUGACGGAAGGUGGAGUGCACGGCGGUGGCCGGUGUGGUUGAGAUGGUGUCUUUGAGAUUGAUGUUGGCGUCGUCCGAGGAGGAGCAUAGCGGUUGGCAAGGGCCAGGAAGCGUGGUUCUAGAUGGGACGAUGCGGAUUGUCGAGAAGGUUCUGCGAGCAAGUAAUCUUCAGCAAUACGGUGUUGCCGGUCAGGUUCCGAUGAUAUGGCUGGACGGGACUCGAGAUCGCAGGCCGCGGUCAGGUGGGCAAAGGAUGCAUGCGAACGGCGCGUUCGAGGACGUACUGGCCCGUCCGAGAUCGUGGUGUGUGGAAGAGAUCGUGUGGAGACAGUAUCGUGAAGACUUGGAGUCUGGGUGGGGGCCACGGAUAUGAAAGAUAAGACCAAGCAACGUCACGACGUGAUUGAACAACGUUGCCGUUUUUUCUUGUAUAUACAGGGGGUGUUUAGGAGAGGAGUGCUAAACUUUAGCACUCCCACUUUAGUCUAUUUUAGUCACUUGUACUCCUAAACAAGUGAGCUAAAAUUGGUGGACUAAAUUUUAGCCCCUCACUAAUCCCUUAGUCACUUGGGGGUAGCUAAAAUGGUCUAAAUGGACUAAAAAGUGGUCCCUCGGACCACUUUCCCCCUUGGCCCCCUCCCUUGUCUCUCCUCCCCUCAGUCUCUCUCUCCCGCUCCUUCGCCCGAACCGCCGCCUCCACCUUGCCCGUCGCCUCCGCCUCGCCGCCGCCGCCUCCGCGCCGGCCCCGUCCGUCCCCGCGGCCUCGCCUCGCCGCCGCCGUUGUCCUCCGGCUCGCCUCGCAGGCCCCGCCUUGGGAGGUCCUGGCCGGUCCCCGCCUCCUCUGACCGGAUCCACCGGCUCCGCCCGUCCCUGUGCGCCGUGGCGUUGGUCGGGUGCUCACCGGAACGUGGGAGUCGCAGGCGUUGUGCUUGGGGUCGGUGGCGGAGAAGACGGUGUAGAUGAGGAUGAAGGUGCCGAUGAUCUCGGUGUUGAGGCCGGUGCCGCGGGAGUAUCCGGAGGCGAGGGAGUUGGCGCCGCCACCAUACCUGUCGAGGUAGGCGCUCUGGAACGCCUUGACGAGGCCGACGCCGCUGUGCGCUGUGGCGGCGGUCCUGUCCGCCGCGCUGCUGCUCGCCGCCGUCGCGACGCUGGCCGGCGUGCUGGAGGGGUAGCUAUGCAGGGGUAAAAGGAUCAUUUGGCACAGCAGGUGCUAAACUUUAGCCUCCUUCCCAAACACCCCCAAGGCUAAAAUUUAGCACUCUUUUUGAGAAAUUUUAGCACCCUCCUCCCAAAUAGGACCAUAGAGGGAAAAAAUUGUAACGUUUGAUUCUAUGGUUAUGACAGGCUCACAUUCAAAUUAAUGCUAGCAUGCGUGUGCUAGUGGCUUGUGGGUGGCUCAGUGAUCAACUCAGUGGCUGGUCUUAAUAGAUCUCGACACACGGAGGAGGGCUUGGCAGGACGGUGUAGAAGGCUGAUGGUGCAGGGACGGCUUGACAUGUAACGACGUGGAUAACUCGACGACAGUAUGUAUAGGUUUGGCGAUGAACCUGGCAGAUGUUCUGUGAUUAAGAGCAGACGGUCUGGCGAUCGACGAGCCAUGUUAGUCGGAUGAGUUUACGGUGACAAAGUGUAUUAUGCGGGAGUGUGGGGAUGAGCCAUGUUGGUCGGAUCAGUUUAUGGUGACAAAGUGUAUUGUGCGGGAGUGUAGCAGGGUUGCGUGCACAACGGAGCUACAAGGCAUGACAGAAUGUCGCCGGAAGCUGACGGAGAAUUGCAACCGGUGAAGGAGGAGAGGUAGUGUUCAGCAUACCAGACGUCAGCCCGGUGUUGCGGGCUCGUUGGCGACGAGCCGAUGCUGUCGACGGUAUUCAGUUGUGGCGCGCAAGGCAACUGAUUGGAGUUCGAUGGCGGAUUCAGUUGGUGCUCAGGAGCGGCAGAGUCAAGUGGCAGGCUGACAUGGUCGAGGUGUGGAGCAGCUCACUAGUGUUCUACCUGUGAUGGAUAGAUAGGGCCGAAUAGUCCGUGGGCACAAGGCGGACAGUUCAAGAUGACUGGCGGAUAGUUCACUUGGAGGCUGGACAUACCGUGGUGCAUGGCGGAGAGACUAGCGACGACAGGCUAGUCAUAUCGCGGUCAGAGGCAAGGACAUGAUCAGCGACGAUGACAUAGGAGCGUGCCGGUAGAUAGGGUUGUUGUUCUCUGUGGCAUGGCGAUACGCGGCGCGAGCUCGGGAUGCAGGUUUGCAUGGGAGGAGUUUGCGUGCUUCCAAAUCAGCAAAGGCGCGGAAUUCUGAAGCAUGAAUCGAAGGGCAUGAAGCUUCUGGAAGGAAGUAUGAACUGCGGAUGUCUAUACUUGCAACUGUAGUAAUCUGGUUGGACAUGGCUGCAGGAGACUACGGUGUAAGGCGCUAUAGUAUGGUAGCGGUAAUGGAAGAGCAAUGCAAGUGUGGCAAUUCCUAUAUGUGACUUGGAUAGCGAUAGUGAGGUUCGCAUCAGUAUCAUGUGUGCAGUCAGCACGAGCAUGGUGUUAGAUUUAGUUAGCUAUUAUGGCAAGAGGGAAAUCUAAUUUGCUCAGCAGAGAUUGUGGUCAUAAAAGAAGAAAAGGGUGCACAGUUGUAGGUGGAGUCACGGAAUUUGGAAUUGUGGGAUAUGAUAAUGUUUCUUCGGGUAGCUCUUGAUAGAGCGGCAAAGGCGAUAGCUCAAGUCCGGUCUAUAUGGAGGUUCACGCAUGACGGCUUCAAGAUGGUGGAAUAUUCGCCAAGGUGGAGUUUGUUAGAUAUUGUAUUGAAUAUUUGUACAAGUCCGUUUACGACAGAACUUGAGUUGUAUUUAGCAGUAUAGGAUAGAGUCCAUGUCAACUUUGUAACCUGAACCUCCUCAUAAAUAUGAGAGGAGGGCUGCUGUAGUAACCAUGAUGAUAAAAUGAGAGGUGACUACAUGACCAUCCAUAGCUAAACUAUGUGUAUAGUUAGUGUGUUUCUUUGAGAAGAAAUGUGCAGCUUCGUAAUAACUUCAAUCUCCUUCGUACACAAGUGUAAUAGAAAUAAAAUCUCUUCAAGCCUUUUUUUCAUUAUCUAAUUUCAAACAUAAUACGUAAUAUCGCGCUCAAUUUUUUUUAAAAAAGAAGUUUCUGGAUUGUGGUGUCUGCAGGUAAAAAAAAAAGUUGUACUCUUUGCUCCAUUAGAAGGAGCUACAAAUAUUCUUGUUUUGGGAGAGUGGUCGUGUUGAGUGGUCUCGAGUGGACUCCCAUUUCAGCAAAUUGCAAUUCAUAGCAGAACCAAUAUGAAGUGCUGUUAUUUUACUUGAUUUAGUUUGGUUUGUGUUUUUUUGUGUCUGUCUCACAUCUAACAUCAUGCUUCACUAGUAAUACAAAAUCUCAUUAUCUACAUAGGGAUAGUUGGCCACUUGAAUGUAUAGAAAGUGUUCUUUUUUUUUCAAAUGUAAUAUGUAGAAAAUAGCUAUUUGCUCUCGGCAAAGAAAUUUGUGUGCCUGAUGACAGAUUGUUAUAUUUACCAAGAAAGUUGCAUUGACAAUCAAGUUCUUUUUCAAAAACAACAUACAACUACACAACUUGUUUUAUGUUCUACAAUCUUUUUUCCCUAACUUGUUUGGAUGUUGCAACCUUGAGAAGCUGUGGUAUCAAGGAACUUUGGUUGUAGGAGGAGCUAUAUACGUGUGCAACCAUGGUUUAGAAAAAAAAUAGAUUUGGAGCGUGGAGUUUCUAAUUUCUAGAAAUCCAAAACGACUACAGAUAUUAUUUUCCCAUAAUUCUAAAACUACUUUGCAUCCACACAUUGGCCUAAGAUGUGUACGCCCAUGCUACAAAUCUAAUCUUCCAUGACUUGUAAAAUUUUGCUAGAGAAGUUAGCUAGCUUUUCUAAAGCCAUGGGGCAACAAAGCACACCACCAACUUAAUAGUGGACUCUACCCAGGUAUGGUAGGUAUGACACUAGCAUUCUUAACUAUAUAUUACCAAAAUGGACGACCAUAGGCCACAACAAUUCGUUGUAAAGCUAUACUACUCCACAACAAUGAAGUACAAUAUUAUUUGUUCCCAUAAAGUCAUCAGAGGACCCUCGCCCUCACGUUGCAAAUUAGUCAAUGGCUUUUGCAAUCCUGGAAGGUGUCCUGCUGAGAAAUCAUUCCAGAAAUGUAAUUUUGCAUCGUUAAUUUUGUUGUUUUUAUCUUCGUUUAUCAGAAUGAAUUAGUUAUAUCGUUUCUGCGGAUGGGUAAGGGGAGUCACGUUGCAUUAGCAUAUAUCGUAGACAAAAGUAGUUAUGGCACGAUUCCCUUUACGUCUGACACAAUUCUUAUGUUUUUAUUUGUGUGCCUUCCCCCACCACAGAUUAGGCAAAAAUUAUCGCUACAAAGAGUUCUCAUCUUUCCCUAUAGUUUCUUUUCACAAGUUGCUAAUAGUGUCAGUACCAUUAGUAUUUUUUUCCCUUAGUGGCCAACGUGCUUCAUCAUUCCCUAUAGUUUUGGCAAUUGUCAAUAAUGCAAUCCCCUACAAACUCAUUUUUCAUUUUUCAUUGUUUUAUACUACCUCCAUAUCAAAAUGUAGGUCGUCUUAGUUUUCUAUAUACAUAGAUUUUACUAUGUAUCUAAACAUAACUCUAUAUUUAGAUGCAUAGGAAAAUCUAUAUAUUUAGAAAAGUCAAGAUGACCUACAUUUAAUUUUUUAAGGGAUGGAGUAGUAGUGAAUGAAUACACUAUAAUUAUUGGCUACAUAAUAAAAAGAAAGUGUUGGAAAAAAUAUCUCUUUAUAUACAGACAGAAUUAUAGAACAUCGUGAACAACGAAGCGUAGCUUAGCUGGUAAGGUACGUUGUGGUGGAACGUGCCGACCAGUGCUAUUUUUCAAUGGUAGGUGACGUCCCCGUCGACAGCGAGGUGCUUAUGAUGACUUCAUCAAUCUCGCGAUAUACUGCCUCAGUCUCUUGAAGAUUCUCCUAGGGGUAGAAUUACGUUCGUAUAAAAUAUAAAACAUCAUUACACUGUCCAUCAUAGAAUAGAAUUAGAGGGAAUGAAUUCAAGCAUUGUUCCCUUAGUUCCACACUGUCCGUCGCACUGAUGAUCUUGUGGAGCAUGGUGGAACCUUCCAAACAGGAUUCUUAGUUCUCAACUCGGCACUGGUGCUCAUACUUUCCUAAAUUUAUUUCGGAAUUUAACAGGCACUAUUAUCUCAAAAUAUAUCUUCUCAGUCUCUCCGAGGUGCUCGUAGGAGUAGUGUUACAUUUGUGUAUAUCGAACAUCAUCACACCGUCCAUCCUACCUUAGAAAAUAGUAUGCAGAAGGACUAGACGACCCAUAAUCACAUUGUCCAUCAUAGAAUAGAAUUUAAAUUCCCUUAGUUCACACUGUCUGUCGCACCUAUAAUCUUGUUGAGCAUUGUGGUGAAACAUGGUUCGAAUCCUUAACUUGGCACUAGUGCUCGUAUUUUUCUAGAUUUAUUUUAGGAUUUAACUGGCACUAUUCUUAUUAUUCUUUCAAGUGUAGGCUAUGUGCCUAUCGAUAGCGAGGUGCUAGUGGUGACUUUGCUAAUCUUAAGGAUAUGUUGGCUCAGUCUCUCGAAGGUGCUCAUAGGGGUAGAGCUACGUGCAUCUAUGUACAGGUUGAGUGUGGAUGUUUUAUGCAAGUGUCGCCACCUGUACUAUGUUUAUGGUCGGUAUCGAGUUCCAUCUUUACCGUACAUGGAGUCCACAUGCUUUACUAUAAAAUUAUAUUGAGGUCAAUUAAGCUAUACAUAUCCAUUAUCCAACUUCCUUUAAAAAGCACUUUAACAGUAUUAUUGUAAUUAUACUGAGUUUUAUAUAUGUAUGUGAGACACGAAAUUAAGGUUGUCAUUUGGGAGAUCCUGUGACACUGUUUGAACUGAAACAGAAGAAUUGUUAUAUACAUGGACAGAACAUACAGUUAGACGCAAUCACUGAACACCAGCUUUAUUCCCUUUCAAGACAGCAAAGAAAAAACUAAGACACGAAAACAAAAGGAACACAAGAUCAAACUAAACUCGACUUCCAUUCCCAACCCUCCGCACAACCUCACCGGCCGCCACCAUUUAAUUUGGCGGUGGUGGAGCCGCCGUCCCGGCACAGGGGUGCACCUUCCCGCUUGCCCAUGCGCAGCCGCCGACGGAGGCCUUGUCGUCUUCACCCGUGGGUCUCUUGUUACCCACUUCAUCAUCUCCUCCACCUGCGGCUUCCUUGGCCUUCUUCUCUUUCUCUUCGGCCUGCAGGCUCUUCAUCCUGCACCUCUCUUGCCUCACGUGGAUCUGCGCAUAGCUGAACCCCAUGGAGGUCAUCUUGGUCCGAAACCAAUGAGGUGAGACAGAGCAGGGUGCUGUUCUUUCUCAGGUUGUUUGUGGGUAGAGAGGCUGCUGUGCAGAUGCCGGAUAUACAUGUGUAUUUAUAGGUAGGAGCUGGACUUAUUGGGGGUGGGCAGUGGUCACCAUGCCGUGGGUUUCUGGUCUUGUUUUGGUGAUAUCUAUGGGCUUAUCUCCAGCGGUGGCGGCCGUUAGGUGUCACGGCGACGACAGUUUGGAGGCUGCAAUCGCUGUCUGAAAAAGUGUGCUGAGUUGUGGGGGAGUGGCUGGAUGAUGCAGCAUCCCAGUGGCAGUGGGGCGAAACCAUGUGGUUUGUUUGCGAUAAUGGUCUCAUGGACCGCGCAAUAGCAUAUGCCUAGAGCCUAACCUGGGUCGGGAAGAUUUCGAGCCAUCACUUUUCUCCGGCAAAAGCUUAUCACCUAAUCCUUUAUGAAGGAAACAUGUAUGAAUAGAUGAUAUAAAACGUGUCCCAAUACGAAGAGUUGUAAAAGGAAACAGAAUUGAAGAUACAAAGGCACAGUAUGAGAUGGUGUCCGACUAAUUGAGAAUGUACGAGAAAAAAACUUUUGCCAAAAUAAAUCAAAACAACCUAACAUGAUGCAGUCAUCUCUAUGAUACGCUAGAAACAUUGAUGGAGACAAGGAUCCGUAGUCAACUCGGCGCACCAACACGGCAAUAUCGAGCUUGCAUGACAUUUACUGAAUGGCAGACAGUUUCUUUUGGGAAAUGUUAAUUUCUAAUUUAUUUCCCAAUUAAAACUACAGAAAACUCAGCUAUUAGCGAAAAAAUAAUUAUGAAAAAAAUAACCCUCAUGGCCAUCUAAGAAAACACAGAAGAAAUGUUAAAUAGUUUGUGGUGAGUCUCACGAAACAAACUUCCUUGUUCUGUUUAUAAGGUAUGAUAUAGUAUGGUACGGUCUCCCAAAUUAGACUUUAACUAUUCAUUUAUCUUAUAUUAUAUUAUUUAUGGUUAUAAACCUAUAAUCAUUGGAGGGUUGUUCAUUUGAUUACAAAUCCAACAGUGUCAAAUUUGUAUUACAAAAAUAAAAAAAAUUAGGUGAAUUAUUGGUCAAAGAUUGUAAAAUUUAAAUCUUGAUAUACACAUGUGCAUCUUAUAAACAGGAAGGGAGGGAGUAUACGUUAAUUAUGACAUGGCAAUCAUUAGGGAUGGAAAUUGGAUACGGAGAACCACAGUAACCGAUCGGACAUCUGACAAAACAACAAUUGUAAAAAUAGUUUGUAUUUGUUUUUCAAAUAGGAUAUAGAUGUGGAAAGUGAAAGUAAAUCACAAUGAAUCUGGAUUAUGUGUAUCUGAAAAAACGAAAUAUAAUUGACACCUUGAUACUCAUAAUAAUAUUUGAAAGAGAAAUACAAUAUAAUUGAGAAAUAGAUUGAACUAUUAAGUUCAUAUAUUUUUAUUCAUCUAACUCAAUCCUUUCUUAAAAUAUUACGCUAAUAUUUAGCCAAAACAUUAAUUUUUUACUUUUAUUCAGAUUGUAAACGGAAAAAAUAUAAUUUUGAAAGUAGAAAAAAGUUAAAUAUUAAUUACGCUAUAUCUUUGAUUUACUUAUCUUGAUACUUGAUUCAAAUAUUAAGUCAGUAUUUGAUCGCAAUAAUAACUCAUAAAUAUAAAAAAAUAUUAACCUGCUACUUGUUUAAAAUAUUAGUUUUUAUGUGUUUCGGUUCAUAAAUAGAAGAUGUUCUUUAGUUUUAGAACUUAGAAAAAAUAUUUUUAUCAUUAAAGGUGUAUAAUAUUGAAAUUAAGUUUCGAACAAUCUAAUUUAUAUUUAUACUCGAGAGUAUUCAAGUUCAUAUCAAAUUCAUUUUACAAUACGAAUAUAACAAAUAUGUAAAGCAUUGUAUCAUGUCCUUAUAAUCCAUUUGCAGUUUUGCACCCAUCGAUACAACAUGAUACGGCCUGGUGCUUAGAACACAUAGGUUAAGGUUGUGCCCUUUGGGUAGUUGGCAGGCAAAUUGUGGCCUCCGGCAACGACAAGGGUCACCGACGAAGUCGUUGGUUAGUAGGAUAGGGACAUGUGAGCAAGUCUCAUGUUUGUUACAAACAAGAUAGUGAUAUCUACAAUUGACCCAAUUUUUGAGGAAAUUAAGAAAUCAGAUAAAAAUAGCACAAAGUGGAAGUAGGUGGCACGGUAAGGCCUGACCAACAAAUCAUACAUGCUGUGUGGAAUGGGGACCUCUAUCAGCAACAAUGGAAAUCAUCGCAGCUGUGGAUCCAUAAAUCUCUAUUGCGCUCCAGUGUAGAGGAGCGGAGCAGGACAUAUGAUUUAUGCUUUAAUCACGAACCGUUGUUGUAGAAAGAUGGUGAGAGGAUCUAUGUUUGACUAGAUUUGUUUUGAACGUUUAGAAACCAGGCUACAUUUGUUCAGACAUCUGGUUCAGGGGAAGGCCCGAGCCAUCAGGACUAUCCGCAAGCUACAGAUGGCGGUAACCUAGAGUCAUUAUUGGGGAAAAGGGCCUUUCGUUCAGCAUCUUAGUGCUAGUUGCAAUUGGACUCGGUACUAAUAUAAGUGUUAGCACCGGGUCUAACGGCUAGUACUCCAGAGGCGACCCGUGACCCCCUUUAGUACCGGUAAAGGGCUCCACCCGGUAUUAAAGGCAUAUUAGUACCAGGUGCAGGCUCCACCUGGUACUAAUGGAUGAUAUUUAGUACCGGGUGGGGCUCCCACCCGGUAUAAAGAGUUCCCGUCCGCCACCUUAUCCAUCUCCUUCCCCCCCUACCCGGCGGCAGUCCUAUCCUUCUAUCUCUCUCUCUAUCUCUCUCUCUGUCAGCACCCCCUUCCUCUCCUCCUCUGUCUCCUCUCCCUUCCCCCCUCCAUGGCAGUGAGGAGCAGCGGCAGGGCAAGGUGAGGCGGCGACGGCAAUGGCGGGCGGCAGGAUUGGUGGCGGGCUGGCGGGCGGGGGUUGUGGGAGCGGCGGCGGGGGUCGGGACGGGGGCCGUGGGAGGGAGGGGGCAGCGGGAGGGCGGGAGGUGGCAGGGGCCUGCGGCAAGGCGGGGGCCGUGGAGGGCGGGGCCGGCAGCGGGAUUUCAAUUUUUUUUUAAUACCUCUUUAGUACUGGUUAUUUCAACCGGUACUAAAGGUCCCUUUAGUACCAAACUAGCAAUACCAGUUACGCAACCGGUACUAAAGGGGUUCCCAACCGGUACAGAAGACCAUUUCCCUGGUAGUGAGUGACAAUAAGGAACAUGGAAAAAACAUGCAUAUGUAAUUUGCGUGCGUCCACCUUGAUUGUUUCAUUCAAAAGUAGAAGGAGAAAAGAGAAACAAUGGCUUAAAGCCAUGCAUAAACAGUCCCUUGUGCACUUUUUGAUGCAACGUGUCAUGCUGCAACAGGACUGACAGUAGGAUAUUUUCCUUCUUUAAAUGGUAUGGUAUGGAUAUCUGUUAUCCGUGUGUUUUGGCCCAGUGUACCUUGGAACAGUGUCAGAAAGCAACACAUGGUCGGCGGAGAACGGCCUCCACUGGUAUAGGGGUCAAGAUCAGACAGGCAGAUCAUUGAUUCUACAAUUAUUUGAUGCACUGCGGUCUCCGAUACGCUCUUCACCUACCUCAGUAGUGUGUUAGCAGUCAUGGAAGGUCAACAUGAACAGGCUCUUCUUGGUGGGGUGGCUGCCUUCUACAAGCGUGCCAAACUAAAAUGAAAGAAUAAGCGAGUCUUGUAAGAUGUGGAUAAAGGUGAUAAUGGCAGACCAUGUUUAUAUGUCUUCUUCAACUUUCAUGUGAGGUUUAUCUAAGGCCCUGUUUUAAACUGGGAGGGGCUCAUUUCGACUUCAGCUUCACCUGUUUUGCACACGACGAGGCACUGUAGUGUGAAGUCAUUUUGUAAGCUGAGACUAAAAUGAACUAGAAGCUGGGUGAAGCCACUAUUAUUAGCUUCACCAGCUUUACUAGUAAAACCAUUUCGGGAGAAGCCCUUCCAAAUGACUCCUAAAAUGUCAGAACGUGCAAAGCGACUUUGGAACUGACUAACUGCAUGCCGUAUGGUACAGGGGACAGCACAGACCACAGUGGUUGAUACUUCUCUGAUAAACUCCCAAACCAAGGCUGAAACUCCGCAUAUACUUAGCAUAAGGUCAAUGAUGUUCCACCCUGUUCAGCUUAGGCGUCGCUGAUCUCUCUUACUCCACCACAAGGUUGUACCCAACCAAACUCUAGUUAGAUCUUCGACAACCACCUCCGGGGUGCUCCGCAUUACAUGUCGUUAUGCCACAAUAUAUAUCUCGAGAUGUGCCUAUACGCCGACCUACCUAUGGAGCAUCAAGAUUGCUUCCCUAUCCUUGUGUUGAUCCAAGGCUGAUCCCGGCCAUGCAUUGUGCUAAAACAGUAAUAUAACUUAGAAGUAUAGGUGGUAUGUAGGGAAUUUUUCCUUGUUUUGAAUGAGCUUUUGAGAUUUAUUAGGAACAAUAUAUUACGGGCCAUCUACUGGUACCUUCUCGCGAGCUUCAUCCACACAGCUCUAGAUAAAAAAUGUGCAACUGCUUUGCGACCGUGCUUUAUCACAUAUUUCAUUAAGAGGAAGAGCAAUACAACCAUUAGAAAACUUUAAUAGGCAGAGGCUAUUAAGGUGGUUACGGAGCACCACCAAGCUAGUGGUAGGCGAUCCAACAUGAAAAAAGACCAGCAAGAAAGGUGGGGGGAAGGAAACACAUCCAAACCCACAAACCUAAACAACCUAGGAUAGGUUGCCAACACCUCAACGGUGGCAAAACAUCCACCCAACGAGAUCAACCAGCACGACCAUAGUGGCAAAGCAUCCGCCGGAGUAGCAAAACCAUGGCGGCAAAGCAUCCAUUAGAGCUAAAGAACCACGGCGACAAAGUAUCCACCCAAACAAAGUAUCGGUGGCAAAGCAUCUACCCACAUAACACGACCGAGGUAGCAAAGCAUCGAUCAAGACAAGAGCAACCUAGACGACCAAAGUAAUGGUGGGUAAAGUAAAGCGAAGGUUGGUUGAGAAGAAGCAUCUCCCCAUGGAUGGUUGAUGAUGAACACACCCGCUGCCACCCCACGGUCCUAGAAGCGCCAGUAGCGGCAACUCGCACCUCGGCAAAGAGGAGGGAAGAGGGGAACGAAUGAUGCCUCCAAGAAUGUAAGAGGCGCUUAGGGGUGUCGCCGUCAUCUGCCGGCAAACGGACUAGACUUUUGUCCGUACCCUGUUCCCUGAACACACCGCCGACACCAAACCAACUGAGGCAGCCAUGCGACACGAGAUCGAGCAGACCCACACCACCACACCACCUAUUAGGACCGCCUACCGGCUAGCCACCCCUGCCGGCGGUAGGAUAGGUUUGCCGUGUGCUCUUGAAAGGGUGCACACACCCUCUUGGCAUGGGAUACAUGUAUAUAUUCCUCUUCUCUCUUUCCAUUUGGGCCUAAGGCCUUGUUCAUAUUCCUUUUAUUUAUAAAAUCAAAAAGAUCCGGUAGGGACCUUCCCUACCGUUUCAUGAAAAUAGAGGGGGCCUCGGGGCCGCUCGCCUGCCGAGGUGGUGGCCACUAGCUAUUGGCGUAACGGCGGCACCAUGCCAGCACCCAUCACGAGUACAACUGCUAGGUGCCCCCAGGCCGCGCCCUCAAUCCAUCAAGGCAACUGCAAGAGUCGAUAAUGGGAGAGGACGCGUCCCCAGCCGGGAAGCGCAAAUCCAGAGGUGGUAGAACAGAUCCGGCUAAGGGAGGCACAGAUCCGGCCUCCGGCGGCCAGCUUUGGCCCUACGUGCUCCCAUCUGUCCAUUUAAAUGUGAGAGUUGGGAUAAUUCGGGUAGCAUCUCCAUGAUUAUGUGCUACGGUGCAAAAAGAGACUUUAUGCGUAUGUACAAUUCAUGAAAGUAUCACAGAGGAAAUAAGAAUGCAAAUAUAAGGAAUGUAUUAGAUAACUACUGCCAUGAGCUCAGAAGGAUUUUAUGUUGAGUGGUUAUAGGUAGCUAAAUAAAGCAAAUUAUACUCGCAAAAAAAAGUAAAGCAAAUUAUAGGCAUAGAAUAGUAAUGAUGGCACGCAGCAAAGCUACAACGAAAAACGGGCCCUUGAGCACCUUUGAUGCAGGUAGACGUGUCACGCUGCAACUGGUUCAGAAUAUUCUCUUCCAUCUCAAGUUUCAACUCAGCUCCUCAGGGUCAGGGCAAGGCAAGCAAAGCUACGCAAAGAUUUAGCUUCUUGAAAGAGGUUCCUCUAACUUUGAACCUCUACCUUUGAGCCACUUCCAUGCGGGCCCCAUCAUAUUUGGGUCCACACAGCAUUGACUCAAAAGUAGAGGGAUCAAAGGCAGAUGAUCUGAUUCGCUUGAAAUGGUAUGGAUGUCUGGGCUCUGCCCGAGUGGCACCGUAGCACCUGGCACCCCAAGCAGGCUUCUCCCAAGUGGAGGGUGAGAAAGCAGCUCGUGGUGGAGAAAGCAGGGUGGGCACUGGGCAGGGAACGGCCUCCACUGGACGGCUGACUGAUUCCACAAUUAUUUCAUGCACUUGGGGAUAGAAUUAUAGUCUUGACUCUUAACUCUAUCAGCACUUGUGAGUGAGCAGUGAUGGCAAGUCAACUUGAACAGCUCUUCAGCGCAUCCCUCUUCCACAAAGCUCAAUGGGUGAGUCACUGAAUGCAUGUACCUUUGAUAGGUCUGAUCAGGAUAAUGGUUGCAUGAUUUGUUUAACAUGAGACUUAGCUGGAUCUGACUGGUAUUGAUGCAGAGGACAGCACAAGAGGUUGACAUCGCAACAGAGCCUAAGCACUGGAUAUAGUAAUUAUCUCUUCAAUGCGCCUUACAAAUGCACCAUCAUGGAUACUAGAUACAAAAAUUGCCGCUAUUGCACCACUAUAGUUACCAAACCCAACCAAGUUCAACACCGAAAUGGAGCUACAUCACUGGCCAGAAAUUCAGAAUGCUAAAGAAGCGCACAUAGAGAACCUAUGGAGCUCUUCUCUUU